rnacentral:lncRNA from 1 species
AUGAUUUCAGGAGCUAACCGGGAGAAAUAUGUCUUGACACUUAGCCACUAAAACUUGAUUUUGGGAUAAGCGUAGCUUGGCAGUAAAUGAAAUGAGAGUUAGCCAUUGUUGAGUUUAGUGUUCCCAUGCUUGAGGACAAGCAUGAUUUAAGUGUGGGGGGAAUUGAUAGGGUGUUAAUUGUUAGUAAUUUUAUUGUUAAUUCUCCUCUUUAUCCUUGCCAAAUAUUGCUUUAAUUGUCAAUAUAUAUUUAUAUUUGGUAUUUGGAUAUAAUUUCAGAAAGUGGAGCAGAAAAGUGCUAAAAGGGGACCUUCUUGAGAAGAUUUCUCCACACGUGAGAAACUUUCCACAAUCAGCCCAAAUUGUGCAAACCAACGGAAUUGCUGAUGAAGAGUUGCCUUCCUAUUAUUAAGUCCUGGCAAGUCCACUAACAAUAAGAAAUCAAAAGGAGACAAUUCUGCGGGGACCACGUAACAUUGAUUUAGAAAAUGUGUUCUUCUUUUGGGAGAUGUACUCAUUAGCCAUAGGUGGACUUUGAUGAUGAAAGUAGCUUUUCUAUUUGCUUCCUACGUAACUAGUUCUCUUAUGAAAACUAGUGCAGAGGAGAAUUGCAGAAACAAGCUUCAAAAAGACAUUAGACUAGUUUUGGAGUUUGCUCUCAAUAUAAGCUCCGUAGGAGGAUAGAGGAGUUUUUAGUUUUUCUCUCCGAGGGAUGUUCCAGAGGAGAGAAUAGGGAGUUGUUUUGGUUUGUUGAAUUCUAUUGUGCAAUUUUCUUAUUUUCUUCCGAGAGCUUUGUUAUUCACUCUCUCAAUUAUCGAAGAAAGAUGAUGUCUUUAAAUUCAAUUAAAUUGCGUGGGAAUUUUCUUAUGAGGCGUGGCUAAUUUUCUCAUCUAGUCAAGGAUCAACGCGAAGACGCAGUCCCAAAUAUCUGUGAGAUCUAAUUAAUUUUACGUGUUCCUUAAUUUGUUAAUAUUUGCAUGUUUUCUAUUUUAAUUUCCAUGGGAUUGUUUUGUUAAUUGGAUAUCAAGGGCCCGAUGUGCAAUUUGACUUAUUAAUCUCCUGUCAAAUUAAUCAAUUAAAUCCGUAAUUGUUUAGUUGGUUAAUAUUAGUGACAACUAGUAUUUUCACAUACUAGGAGAACAUGCAAUCUGAUUUAAAUAACCCUCGUAGCGUGUUAUUAAUUUGGGUUAGGCUUUUCUAGUUUUUAAUGCAAUUAGGAAAUUAAUUCCUACGGUCGUACCUAGGAGUAUUUCCUGGUUAGAAGUAAUCAACGGUAGUACCUUGGUUAUCAAUAAAUUAAGGAAAAGCUGGUCGUUAGAGUUUAUCGGCGACUAUAACUAGCCUAUUAAUAAAAUUAAGUGAACCUUCUUUGCAUCAAUGAUCGGAUGAAUGGACUGUGUCUGCGUAGUUGUAUCCUUGGCUAGAAUUUAUUUAUCAUUUAUCUAAUUGCAUUUAUCUAAUUGCUAUUUACAAUUGUAUUAAUUAAUUAUUUAUUUUUGGUUAAAUUAUUUAAUUAUUUUUAGUUAAAUUGUUUAAUUAUUUUUAGUUUAUUUCUGAUAAAAAAUCUCCCGUGUCCUGAACUUGAAAGGAAUCAAAUUUUUCCCAGUCCCUGUGAAUUCGACCCUACUCACUACUAUACACAGAAAAUUCAUUUUUCUCGAGUAGGUAUUUAUUAUUGCACAGGCUCGACACCUGCCAAAUAAAGAGAUUUUUUAAAGCAUUCAUAUGAAAUUUUAUAGCUGUUCACUUAUCUGUAGAAAAAGAAACCACAAAUAUCUCGAAUUUAGGUCGACCUAAUACAAAACUAGAAUAAUGUGCAACUUAAAAAACUGCAUUGAUUCAGAACAUUUAACUCUCAGAAGAAAAAUAUGAGAUCCCAAGUUUAUAUGAACUUAAAUUUGCACGCUGAGAUUGGAAAGUUGGAGGAUAAUUUCUCCUAGUUAUUAUAAACAUCAAAAGCUCCACAGGCUUUGGAAGUAAAUUUAGCAGAAUUUAAUAAAAAGGUUGUUCAGUAACUACAAGAUAAUACAUUUAACGAUCAUUUGCAAAAUCUUCCAUAGGAAUUUAUAUAUCAUACCUGAAAGCACCCCCAGAUGCUGUUAAAAUGAUACGUCGAAGAGCACCCUCAGGCAGUACACUGAAGCACAUUUUAGGUCUUUUUGUUAGCAAGUAUUUUUCACGAUUACAAGGGAAAUAAGGGGAAAUGACAACUGAAUAAACAAGAUUUCGGACUUAACAAUUAUCAAUUCAAAGUAUGAUCUAAAAGCAACUGGACACAGCAAAAUACAUAGGUGCACACCUGGAAUAUGGCAGAAUGUUCUGAAUCCGCAGGAAGAAUCUUCACUUGGUGCUUGUGCGCAAGAAGAAGUACAAAAGGACCACCAGCAAUUAACGUCUCUUUGUUGGCCAAGCAAAUGUCUUUCGCUUCUAUGGCAGCCACAGUCGGCUGCAAUAAGGAAUAAAUCAUUCACACGUCAAAGAACUCGUUACUAAAUCAUGAGCUUCACAAAUAGAACAGGAAAUCCCCACGUGCAAAAGCAACUAGCAAAGAAAGCAAAAUAGAUGCUUACUCAAAGCGAUAGUAAAGCAUAAGCAAGCUGAACUCUAGUCGUGUCUCAAGCAGAUGAUCAUCCAUGAAAAUUAAGAUUCAUGUUCUAAUGCAAUGUUUCUUUCUUGUUUCUAGAGCCUGUCUUUUUUCAAUUGAGUAGUAUUAUUUUGAAAGAGAGAUUUCUGAGUGCUCCACUCUCUACCAAUCUUAAGUAUCACUGAUAAUCAGUAAUUUCUCAAACUCAUCAACUUGAAAAAAGAAGUUAUCGCACAUGAAAAUAUGUGUCUGAGUUAAAAUGCAUAAGUUUUGGCAUUUGUAUUGCAUGUGCAGCAUAAUCAUUUCAUCUAAGAUGCUCUGAGGUCUGUCUGGUUAAAUUCUCUACAGGCACUUCUGGAUAACCCGAGACUCUGACAUGACAACUGCAAAUUAUCCACAAUUAGGACAUGUAUAAACAGUAUCAUGUGUUUGUGCAGACACCAAUAGGAUGCUUCUUCUGCGUGAUUAAUAAUGCUUUAAAGUAUGCUUUUUACAAUUCAAUAGUAUCUUUAAUAGUAUAGAUGCAUGUGCAGCUCAGAUCUGGCUACCAUUGACUGGCUUUUCUUUUUCUUUUUCUUUGUUUUUACUUUGCUUGGUUAGUUGUUGAUGAUUGAAUGGUGGUUUAUUUCUCAUCUAUUAGAAAUAGGGAGAAUUGUAGUUUUAGUCCUCAAUGUAUUACCCAUGCAUGGAACUAGUCCUCAAUCUAUUUCAAAAAGUAAAUUUAGUCCCUAAUCUAUCCAAUUUUCCAUAAAGGUGGAUAAUUGACAGAUUCCUUCCAGUUGAGUAACGGAAUGUGGCGCGUGCACUCACUGUACUAGAACGUGCAAGUGGUUUCAAUUCUCCCUUCUAAUCUAACAUACAUGCUGGAACUAACAUGUUAUACCCUGAGUUACACUUCAAUACAAAGGUUUGGAAUCAGAUUUCUUGAAGAACCUGCAAUGGUUCCUAAUUCUUUCUCUCGGCUGCAACAUUAAUUUCCAGUAGCAGCAGCAGCCUUUCAUUUGAUAUUUUCUCAUUAGUUCUAUUUCUGUUUUAUGUCCUAGCUGAUCUUGCAAAGGAUACCUAUUCAACUACAGAUUAUCCUAAGCUAAACACGGAAGUUUUUGACCAGAUUCCAAGAGGAAACUUAAUCAAAUCCCAUGCCGGUGCAAGGCUGCAAAAUCUGACGCAAAGCAACCUGCCCCAGAUUUCUUUCAUGCGCACGUUCAGAUUCUUGCAAGUUACUACGGUAACCUACUUUUACUACUUAAAGUGAACAUAUUCAUACAUUCCUAGCUACCUGUUUCCAUCCUCCUUUGAUAGAACCUGCACAAUCCGUACCUGUUUCUUAGCUAAAGAGCAGAAUUUUCUUUUAGCAAGCUACCAGUUCUGAGCAGGAUUUCUCGCAACCAAACUUACUUUCCUUGACUAGAAUCUAGCAUACUAUAUACGUACUCAAGGGCUUCAGCUGAUAAAAAAAAAAAAAUUAUUGCGGUCAUUUUACCUCUUUCUUUCCUCUUAGAGUUUGGAAAAUUGCAGACUGCACUUUUAAUUUCCUGCUUCGGUUCCCAAAAUUGCACCAGCCUCUCCUUCGUACUCACUUUUGGCUCACGGUUUUGAGGUUACAAGCUGGAGCAAUGAAGCGAGCAAAUGUCUAUCUUUCUCUUCCUCACUUUCUCGGUUGCUGGCUGGAAGCAAGGAGUAACCAGAAUGUUCUCUUUUCCUCUCACUCGGUUGUGUUUUGAGAUGAAGGGGUGUGGCUGAGUUUCUCUCUCAGUUUUGCUCCUAGUGUUUAGUUGGUAAGAAAAGAGUUGAAGCGUGCUUCUUCACUCGGCCACCGCCCAAUUAAUAUAUCAGUUUCUAUUGCUCCAUUCACUCACCGCUUGCACUUAGCUAAUAAUUGGCAGCUACUUUCUCCUCCUAAAUUCAUUUAUCUCGCUGCUUAUAGGACUUAAGAAUCAAAAGGUAAACAAUCCACUCGGUGGUCUCUUUUUUUUUUUUCAAUCGGUGCUGCCAGCUAAGCUGCUCACUCGACCGGUUGGACCGCGAACCGGCCAUGUCACCGGUCCGGUCUAAUGCUAAAGCCGGAAGCUCAUGAAGAACCGUUGAAACUCGGACGAACCGUGUGAACCGUGAACCGGCGGUUUUUUAAAUUCUUCAACUAAAUAUUAAGAAUGGUGUAACUAUGAUUCGAACCUGGGCCUCCAAGUUUGGAUAUGACAAUCUUAUUGCUGGGCUGUAGUUAAGUUUGUUGAGAAUUCUACUUGACUAAAAAAUAUAUUAAAACAUCAAGUUCUUCUCUUUUUUUUUUUCAAUUUUUUCUUCUUAACCAUUUUUAACCCAAACAUCCACAACAAGAUUUUCUCAAGUCUUCACCAUUAUUAUCAGGUUAUUAUCUUUAGCAGAUUGUAAACAAGUUGAAAAUUUCAACUUUUGUUGUUUUCCAACAUCUUGGUAAGUUUAAUUUUUUUUCUUUUCAAGGUUUUUUUUCUAUAUUAUUAUCUUUAGUUGAUUUUUUUGCAUUUUCUUCUUUUUCCCCUCAAUUUUCAUAUGUUUCCCUCAUUUUUGUUUUAUUUUUAUUUGAUUAAUUAAGGAUGAAAUUUUUGCAAAAGUAGUGCACAUCCGUGUAGGAAUUGGGUAGGAAUUACAAAUAAUAACAUUGGACUGAUAAAAAAUAUGGUAGUUGGCACAUAAUCAAAGCUAUUGAUAAUUGAAUUUAAAAUAAUUAAUGGUAUAGGAUCAUUGAAUUUAAUAUAACAUGUUAAUUAGUAAUGUUUAGUAGCAAUUAAUUUUUUAUGUGUUUAACUGUAUAUUUUUUUUCAAAAAUUUUAGUUUUUUUGAGUUUGAGCAAUUAGAUUUAUAUUUUUAUAAUGAAAUUUUAACUUUUUCAGCUUAAGUUGAUGAAAUUGUGAAGGUGGUGUGGUUGUUUAUCAUGCCAUUGAUAAAAGUUUGCUAUUCAAAUGGUUUGUCUUAACUUGAACUGUUUCAUGGAUUUUUUUAAGGGUUGUAAAAGAAUUUCAAUAUUUAAUUUAUUUAUUUUUUGUGUUUUUAUUUGUGAUAAUUGGUAAACAUUUGGAUUGUAUCUAUUUAUGUUUAUAAUGAAUUUAUGAAAACUUGUGGUGAAUUAUGAUAUUUUAAUUAUAUUUAUCAAUCCAUGUUUUAUGUAUAACUUUUAGUAAAUUUAUUAUUAUCAUAAUUUAAAUUAAGUUAUGUUGGUAAAGUUCAAGUGUAGAAUGAAACCUGUUUAGUACUUUACCAAAAAAAAAAAAAAAAAACAGUGAACCUGUGAACCGGCCGGUUGGACUGGUCGGACCGCGAACCGGCCACCUCUCCGGUUCACUGACCGGUCCGAGUUUAAAAACAUUGGUUUCUACUAAAAAUUCUGAUGGUUUAUUCCAGUGGUGCUCACUUAGGCCACCGCUCAAAUUUCUUGUAAAUUAUUUUCUCAUCUUCCCCUCUGCCGCUGUCGCUCUUUUCACCCUUCUGCGACCCCCCUGAAAUGGGCUUCCGGGGUAGAACCCUCCAACUUGACAAUGCUCGAACUCACCAGUCGUGUUUGCCGCCUUUUAGUUCUCGAACGCCAUUCAGACCUCAAGAACCUUUCUUUCCAAUUCUCCCACAAACUCGUUGACACUGUCCUCCAAAAACUGAAGCUCAACCCCUCCGCCUAUCUUCAGUUCUUUGGAUUAGCUUCAAACCAGCCAAAUUACCGACCCCAUUUCAAGGCCUACUGGAAAAUUGUUCACAUUUUGUCCAAGGAUAGAAAAGAACAUAGAUGUGAAAAAAUGAAAAGGAGAGAAAAAGAGAGGAUAGAUUUUGACUUUUUAAAUAGUUUCUUGAUUUACAAACAUUGAAACCACUUGCACAUUCUAGUACAGUGAGUGCACGCGCCACAUUCCGUUACUCAACUGGAAGGAAUCUGUCAAUUGUCCACUUUUAUACAAAAUUAGAUAGAUUAGGGACCAAAUUUACUUUUUGAAAUAGAUUUAGAACCAGUUCCGUGCAUGGGUAAUACAUUGGGGACUAAAACUACAAUUCUCCCUUAGAAAUAUAACUAAAAGUUCAAAAAUACAACUAAUUCCAUAACCAGUAUCAAAACUAUAAAUGCAUCAUCCUUUGAUGGGCCACUGACUGUGCAUACUAGUUAUUUCAACAAAAAUCUAACGCUUAAAACCCGUCUUGACGAAUGCCACUAAUGCCUGUAGUUGCACUAGUUAAUCAAAUCCUUCAACUUCUUCAUGGAAUGCAAAACGGCAAUGACUUCCAAGGUCAUCUUUAUUUAUGAAAUUCCAUUAAAAACAUAUUUAUGUAAAGAAUUGGGUAGUGUAAAACCUUAAAUGAUAAAUAUAUUCAUUCAAACAAUAAUAUGUGCAUUUCAACUGGAGAUUAUUUUGGAAAAAUUUCUUUUGAUUUAUCUAGCACUUAUUUGUGAUAUUAUGUAGGGUUCAUAGAAUUGAACAGCCCUUAACAUUUGAGGCGAUUUGGAUUCUGCCCCUUAAUAUUUUUUCUAAGCACUUUGCCUCCUAGAUUAACAACCAAAGGUAAAGGUCUAGUAAAAACACAUAAUCGCCCUUAAGCUGGCGAUUGCAGUUUUUCCCUACAAACUACAACUCUAGUUGCACUCUGCCCCCAAAAGAACUUUAUACUCAAUUUACCUCCUAAUUUAUGUUGAAGGAUAAGAUUAUCUUUGAUAUUUUACCUAUUCACAGUGUUCUUUUUUCUCCCUUUAUUUCAUUUCCCUCUCUCUUUUAGUUUUUCCCUUAUUUUUAUCAUUAUUAGCAACUACUAAAAAAAACUGCUAUUUUAUUGUCAAUAAUUUUUUAAUCACAAGCUCCAAGUUUUAUACAUGUUUGAAUAAUUUAUUGCCCAAUUAAAUAUGCUUUCAAAUGCAGAAGACAAGAAUACAGUUAUGCUGUAACAUUUAGUUUUUUAGUUGUCUCCAACAUUCUUUCAAGUAUCAAAGGUUAUUUUGUUUUUCUUUUUUCACUAUCAAUAGUUAAUAAAAGUUUUGAUGUUAAGUUUGCUGUAUGUUGUAGUUAGUUUGUUACGUGGAUGACAAAGCAUAUAUAACUUAAAAAUGAAAAUACAUAAAUCUAAAAAUAUAAGUUAGAGGCUCUGUUUUUAAACUGGGAUUGGACCAGCCGGUCGAACUGGGAACCGGCCAAUGGUCCGGUCCGGGUUAACUUUAAAAACCGGAAAAUUCAAAAUUCGGUCAAACCAGGUCAAAACCCGGGUUUGACCGGAAAAAGACCCGAUUUUUUUACUUUUUUUUUAAAGGUCAAAAUAUUUUUAAUAUUAUGUUUUGACCCCUAGGUUGUUAAAAUUUAUUAAUAUAUCUCAAAUAUUUCAUACUUUAUAAAUGUUGUCUUAAAGUUUGGUGUUAUUUUUCAAUUAAUUCCAUAAUUUUAAUUCUAAACUUGUUAAUGCUCAUUAAAUAACAUAAAUUGCUAUUUGAUUGUUCUAAUUUCUUUGUAUUUUCUUGUUAAAUAUAUUUAAAACAUUAAAUACAUAUGAAUAUACCUUUAUUAAUAUUAACAUGUUAUUAGAUAUUUUACAUAAAAUAUUUUAAUUUUUAAAUAAUUUUUAUUUAUGACGUCAUCCGGUUCAACUCCGAUCGAAUUCGGUUGAAUCCAUUGACCCCUGACCCUUGACCUCGACCGAGUUGAUACCCGGUCCGGUUUUGAAAACAUAGGUUAGAGGCUCAAAGGCUCAAAUUAGGCAAUUAUCAAUACUUAUGUAAUAGUUUUGAAGUGAAUAGAGCGGAUGACAUAUAUAUAUAUAUAUGUAUGUAUGUAUAUAUAAAGAAAAAUAAGUGACAGAAAAAACAAAACGUAAUUGAAAUAACAGUAGUGUAAGCUGCCUUAAAAUUCUUUAGAAGGCAAACUGCAAAUAAGGGCAACAUUUGAAAUUAAGGCAUUAUAUAACGGUCAAACCUUAUUUUCACUGCCGAGGAGCUGUAAAGAAGUGCUUGGGAAAUAGUACUAGGUGGCAAACUGCAAAUCACCCCAUUAAAGAAGUCUAAUCAUCCUAUCAUAGAUGUUGAAUGCUAUUAAGCAUAUGAUGUAUGUGAAAUUAAAAAAUAGUAAGAAAAUAAGAAGUAAUGAGAAAACAUAUUUUAAGAAUGUCCAAAAAAAAUUUCCAAAUAAUUUCAUCCUUUUUUUCUGGUUCUUUAUACUUCAUCCAAAGUUACUUAUACAUUUCUUCAAAUUUCUGUGCGCAAUUUAAUCAUAACCAAUUGAAUCUCAAAAUGCCCCAUAUCACGCCAUCAAGUGCCUCUAAAUUCUAACUGCAGCAAUCACUUCUCAAUGGUGCAUGAGAACUCAAAUGGGUAAGAAAUUGGCCUCUGGACUUCACACAACAUGGGCCAAUUCUCCAAGCCAAGUUUUAUUAAGGGAAAAUCGCAUAAAUGGUCCAUCACAUAUUAUAAUUGUACUUUUUUUAUCUAUUACUUUCAAAAUGAAGUAAAUUCAUCCUUCACAUAUUCAAAAUGUACAUUUUGUUCCUUACACUCAUUCCAAGCGCUUUUUGGCUAGGAAAUGUCAUGUGCCACCACGUAAUGAUAAUUUCAAGGGCAAAACAAUAUUAUAUCCUAUUGUCAACUAAAAAUUAAAUUUCUGAAUUUUCCAUGUCAGAAUGACGGCAAAUCUGAAGUCCAAACACAUGUCCUGAGAUAUGUGCUCUUUUUUUGUUCUCUAUGUUCUUCUUUUACUUUUUUAUAUAUUUUGCAUUUAUUUUGAUAUUUCAUCAACUUUGUUUUCACUACAACUUUUAUCCUCACUUUUCCAUUUGUUAAAUAUUAUUUUGGGGUUAACUUUCUUCUUUGGAAUUUUUUAUUUUCCUAUUUUAAAAGUCCUCAAGAAUUUUCAAAAUAACAGUUAAACUUUUUCUUAAUUAUUAGUUUUACUAGAUGUGGUGUAUUUUGGUGAGAAUAGGGUGUGAUGUCUAUUUUACUUAUUUUACCCGUAAAAUCAUUAUCGAAUGGUAGCACAUGACCUUUUUCUAACUAAAAAGUCAUCAAAAUGGAUAUAGGAACUAAAAUGACAUAUUUUGUUUAUCUGAAGGAUGGAUUUUCAUCAUUUUAAAAGUGACGGGCUAAAAAGAUGUAAAUGCAAUAUGUGAGGGACUAUUUGCAUCAUAUUCCUUUUAUUAUGGUCAGCCAUUAAGGAUGGAUUUACAGAGGGUGGGCAGGGGCAACCAACGCCUCCCCUCCCUAUAAUUUUGUAAAAUCUAUAUAGGCCCUUUAAAGUUUUCUAAAACUUAUAAAUAAAGCCUUAAUUUUUAAAUCAAAAUUUGUCCCUUUGCCUCCCCCAAUGUGUUGUCAAUAUUUAAAUCAACUAAGUAAUCUUCUUUGAUUUUUCUUUGAAAAUGAUUUAUAUUUGAAAGAAAUAAAAUUAUAUCCUAUAUUUCUUAACAAAACUGAUCCAAACGAGUUUUCUUGACAACCAUGUUUGGGCCCCUAUUCCCAACCCAUAGACAAGGCACGGACUGCCUCUUAAUGCAUGGUAUGGAUUGCAACUUACAUGUACUAGUGCGUUCCACCUAUUGCUCUGUUCGUUCAAACAAUUCCACAUCGGCUUAUAAUUAAACAACUUGAUCAAUUUUUCAGAAAAUAUAUUGUAUGGUAGUAGUGAUACGAUAAUGCAGUAGGAGAGCUGGCAAUAUAUGAAGUGUGGGGGGAUUUUGGGGAAUGGGAGAAACUCUUGAAAAUUAAAUAUAAAUAUUUUGCAACUCUUCAAAAAAUAAAUAUUGAAUUUUUCUAUAAGAAAAAGUGAAGGAAAUUAACCAAUAUAUAGUAUUAGAUUAAGAUUUUAAUAGAACAAGAGAAGGCCUUCAUAUAACUAUUCUAAAAUUUUAUAGGGGUUAAAAGAAGUUUCCAAAAUUUAGAAGGGGCUCUUCCGGUAAAUGGUAAGAUUUGAAAACGUAAGUACGAAUGACAGAGGCGGAGGAAGUUAGCUAUGUUCCAAUCUAUCUACAAUGAAUACUAAAUUAGUUCUUUGUACAAAUGUAUUGAACAAAUAAUGUAAAGAAUAAUUAGUUGAAACUUGAAAGGUGAAUUUAGCCCCUUACUCUUCAACUCGCCAUUGAGAUAUUAUGAUGAGAGGCGCUUUGAAAUUGAGCAACAUUAGUAACGGGACAAAUUUCAUAUGUUCAUGUACGUGAGAAUAGUUGGUAAAUCUGGAAUGUGUCCAAGCAAUUAUAUUGUAACUAGCUAAGAAGCAAUGCCUAGGAACCUUACACAAACAUAUAUAUGUAUAGGGAAAAGACAGAGGAGGAUAUAAGACAAUUGCAGUAAAAGCCAAAAAGGAGAAUAUAAAAGAAUAGGAAAACGGCAAAAAAAAUAAGAUACACAAAUAAUAUACUAAAAUCUCUUGAACUGACAUAAAUAACCUUACAAUUAACAAAAUUUGUAAACCUAUUACAGACCAACGGAGUUGAACUAGUAUACCACUUUUGUGACUUAAGUACUUAUUUGAAUAAUAUAAUUGUUGAGUCGACAAAAGGUCAUAAUCAAAAGGGUUUAUCUGCACUUAUACUAACUAAUAAAAACUCCCCAAAAUAUCGUAUUUCUAACUUUUUAGUGGAAAGAUUACACAGUGUCUUUCUAUUUAACACAACUUCUUUAUUUAACCUUUGCUCUUACAAAUAAUUUCUUUUCACAAUGAAUAAAAAGAUUUAUGACUCAAAGAAAACAAAAAUUUGCAUUCCUACAGAACUUGUUGGUUAUAAUUAGAAUAUAAGUUGAAAAUGAAAUUUAGGGUGCAUCCAGUUUUAAGUUUCUAGUCCGAUAAUGGUUGGGAAGGACACUUAUGAUAAGGAAGAAAGGAGAAGAAAAGGCAAAAGUGUAAGACAAACAAAAAGUCAAGGAAAAAGAAAAAAGAAAUAUAUUGAUUAAUCUAAUUGGCUGUGCCUUUCAUAUUUUAUAAGUUUGAUACAUCUUGAUUUUUUGGUUUUCCCCAACAUGUCUUUCUUUUUAUUUUGACAGUGCAAUGCAUUUUUAAACGUUCAAAGGCAAAUGCCACAAAUCUAAUAUUUAGAAUUAAAAUUAAAGAUAUGGAUGGUGAGAACAUACUUAACCUUGAAGGGAAGUGGGCUGAGAGAGGUGGUGUUAUUACAUGACAUACAGUCAAUAAGCCAUACAGAUUAGGCUAGUAUCCCUCUCCUACGUAACGGGUAUUUUACCUAAAAAAGGGCAAAAUAUAUAUAUAUAAAAAAGACUCCAUAUAAUUAAGCUAACCUGUGAAAAGCAUUUUAUGGUUUCAAAUCAUACAUUCUGGUUUCUCAAGAUUUGAACUAAUUUGAAACAACAAUAAAAAUCAUCAAAACUAAUUGAGGCAGAUGAAAUGAUAGAAUUAUCUUAAUAUAGGGGGGGAGGCCCGCGCAAUGCGCGGGAGUGGGGUGCCUGUGGGUCGCGCAAUGCGCACUCCAUAAUGCGCGUGGUGAGAUCUAUCUAACCUUCGUAAAUAAUAGUGAAGAGAGAAAAGAUGGAAGUUGUAACUGAGAAGCCGUACGAAAAUAAUAGAGAACCACAUCAUAGUAUUAUAAAAAACCAUAGCUUAGAUCAGGAUGUUUGAGUUCAUGACCAUACGGACAGGGAUAUAGGCCCAAUGAUAGUUUCAGAUUUAGAUUAAAUGCUCAGUGGCUCCUUUUCUAAGAAGGUAUAAUAGACCACCUUGCACUUAACCUAAUUUGAAACAGUCUUAUUUUAGAUACUUCUAUUUACAUAGAACAGAUAAAGGAAAAGUUCAGCCAAGUUUGUCCGUUAAAGUAGUAGUACUUAGGAAUAAUGAAGAUCCAUUCGCAAAGGAUAUAACUUCAAGGAUGGGCUUUGGCAGUUUAGGUGCGGUGUUUCUUAGUGGGGUUGACUCUGAGUUUCAUUGGGGCUGCUGCAACUGCUGCCUUUUUCUUCUUAUCUUCUGUGUUAGAAGGACUGAGUUGAUCCACUCCUUUGCUUUGUGUUUCUCCUUCCAUUAUGCUAUCAACUUUUUCUAUUGCCAUAUUUUCAGCCAUGUCGGUAACAUUCUUUUUGGAAUGUUCUUCUUGUGCUGCUGCCCAAGUGGAUGCUGUAGCUUUGUAGUUGGUGAUAUAUUUGCUGAUGACAUAGUUUUCUUCUGCAGUAGCAUUGUUGAUAUGGGCAACUAUGGCAUUGUACUUUUCUGAGCUCCUGGAACUGUGGAUUGUAUUUGAUUUCUUGACCAAGCAAACUAAGUUUUUCUGCUUGAUGAAAUCUGCUAUAGUGGCGUACUGGACAUUUCCCUGUAGGAAGAAUAGAGACUUUAAGUAUUUAUUUGAAGUGAGCAGAAUGUUGCAAAGUAGUUUUGAGUUCGAAUGUACCUGCUGCUCUUGCUUUUGGAUGUCACUUAUGCAGAAUGGGAGGAGUUGUUCAGCAUCAUCACCACUCAGGUCAAGAGUUAUAGCACCACUCAUAUCACUAAUUUGCACUGUUAGUCUGCAGCUGUUUUUGGGUUCAUGUUAUUAGAAGCUUUUUUGGCAGCAGGGGUUGUUAAUAUUAGAUUAAGGUAUAUGUUUACCGUGGAGUGAGACGGAUGCGCUGGUAGCAUGAAGUGCAGGUGAUCUCGCAAUCUGGCCUUGCUCUGAUGUAUUUGUAGCAGUGGGGGCAUGAAUGGUACCAUAGCUUUUGACUUCUAUCUAGAAGUUUUGGUAUGCCUCUAAUCCAAUAGGGCCUUGCCUGCAAUGAAUGAGCAUUGUAUUAUUACAAAGGCUCGGACAAGUAUACCAAGUUUGCUAAUAGUAAUAGAAGUCAAAGUAGAUAAUCAAUUUUGUAGCACUGUUAACCUAUUGUGUUAAGCCAUUUGUUAACAUCUAGUACGCCAGGCAAGAAUUGUAUUAGGCCCAGAAGACCCUCUUAUAAAAGAUAAUGCAAAGCAUAUGAUUCUUGAAUUUCACAUGGGCGAGAGUUUCAUAAUAAAACUAUAGAAUCCAUCAAGCAAUUAAAAAGAAUUAAAAAGCUUUACGCUACAGUGAGGUUCACAAGAGAGAAAGUACAAUUUGACAAGUAAGAUAAUGAGUAGGGGAAAAAAUGGUAAUUACGCAGUAGCAUUAAAACACGAAAUUCCACCUACAAAGUCACAGAGAUGCAAAAAUACGAAGAAAUGGGACAAACAAGUAAAUAAAAAAUUACUGGGUAAAAUGGGAAAACAGGAGCUACUAAUUUCAUUAACGAGGACAAAAUUACUGGAUGAAAGCCCGUAUAUCCGGAAAAACCAAAUGAAAGGGAGCAUUAAUUAGUUCUACAAAAACGUACAGAUACAAUGAAAACUAAACUGAAGACAUUUUUGCCCAAAACAUUCAAAUCUCAUUACCAAUCAAUCAGGAGAGUAGGGAAUGGUAGUUCAAGCUUGUAGUCAGUAUAAUCCAAUUCGAUAACCCACAAGCCAAUUUUGUAAUGGAAGAGACUACAGACUUUUUGGCUGUUGGCAUGCAUGCAGAAAUAAAGGAUUGUGAGUGAGUUGUAUAUGUACCUCAACCACAGCUGUGAGAUCGCUGAUAGUUAUAACUCUGUCAUCAUCUGGUACAGGUAGGAGUUUGAGACGAUCACCAUAAGUCCGCUCAGCAAUGAAACGCGUGAUUUCCUCUUGAUUGUGACUGCACCUAAUAUUUUAUUUGUUGUAAUGUAAAGGAUAGUAAGCCUUUUUGGUAAUGAAUGUUGAAUAAUUUAUAAUGUAACUAUUUUAAAGUAAAGUUACCAGUUACGCAGGUCAUUGGCUUGCUGAAUUGGAGGAUUGAUUAGUAUGCUGCUGGAGAAUUUGGUGGAUAGAUGCAUGGCUACAAAGUUGACAAUAGCAACAUAAGUUUUUCCUUUUCUGGUUUCAGUCAACUUAGGAUUUUUGUAAAUGGUUUUUAAAAGAGUACGUACCAUGGUAAGAUGUCACUCGGACUCGAAGCGCUGCAACCACAGGUUGGGUGUGGAUCAUAUCAGCUAUGUCUUGUCCCUCUUCUGAUUCAUGCUCUCCCCAAAGGGUCAGUACCAUUGGGUGCGACAUAUGAUCUGUAAGAAUGAUAUCCCUAGUUGGUGUUCCACCUCUGAUUGCUUUCGGGUGCACGUGAAUUGCUAUUCCAAUAAGAUCUAAUAACCAGAGUUUGAUAUUAAAAAGUGUAACUAUGACUAUGUAAAUUAUAUGUUAAGGUAAAUCAGGAAUGGUACCUAUUUCAUCAGUUGUGUCAAUGUGCUGAUAAACUGAAUCGUAGUCAGCAAAGUUAAACACAUUAGGUAUCAGAGGGGGGUCCACUUCAUCGAUUUCUUGGACAAGCGUGGAGUUGUCAAUGGUCCAUGAGCACUCAUUUGGGUACGUACUGUACCUUGGCAACACAUUUUGAAUCCUAGCAUUCGAUACAUAAUAUCUUCGAUAUGGUUCAAAGUACUUCCUGAAGAACAUUAUAUCUCCAGCAUAAAUUAGAGCUUGAGCAGUUUGACCCUGUAAUUUUGAAUACAGUAAGUGCUAUGGUAAUUAAUUAGUUGUGUAUAGUGCCAAAGUAUGCAAUGAUAAGCUAUAUUACCUGACUAUCAACAAACACCAACUUUUGGUAGCGUUUUCCAUUUCUUGAAACCUGAACCUUUUGCUUUUCAAUCACUUGAACAAUGGCAGUCCAGUUGUCCAUGAGAGGUUGGAGUUCUGUGAAGUUUACCAGGUUGCUUUCCAUUUUUUGACGUUUGAAGAGUGCUGCAGACAACUACCACAAAAUCGAAGGAUUCCAAAGACAAGAGUUACACUCCGAAGUAGUAAGUUCAUAGAAUUUAAAUAUAAUGUAUUACUAAGACAUUUACUGGUACUUUAUUUGCUAUUUACAUAUAACAGAGUACUGGAAUUAUUGACAAGAUAGCUGCAAUACAUCCUUGUAAACUAUAUUAGGAGUCACAUAAUCUAAACUUGAAUCAUAUACAGGAGGUGUGAUCAAAAUUUUAACAGAUUUGCUAUUUUUAGCUCUAGAUAAUGCAACAUACAGCUGCCCAUGUGAAAAAACAGGUUCUCGCAAAUAAAUGCCAACAUAAUCUAAAGUUUGCCCUUGAGCUUUAUUAAUGGUCAUUGCAAAACAAAGUCUUAUAGGAAAUUGCAUUCGUUCAAAAGAUAUAGGAGAAUUAGGGUCAUUUUCAACACGAAAGCAAAUUCUAUGUAGAAAUACUUGCUUCCCAGCAAAUUCACCAGAACUUAUGACUGCAUCUAUAAUAUUGUGUUUAAGUGAUUUGCAUAGAAGUCUUGUUCCAUUACAUAGACCUUCUGGUGGGUCAAUGUUUCUCAACAACAUUAUUGGUGCAUUUUCUUUCAAUGUCAAUCGAUGUGGAGGAAAACCAUUUGGAGUGUGGCUAUUCAUGAAGUCCUCUAAAAUUGCUUGCUGCGAAUUAUCUAAACAUUUAUCUCUGCUUAAAUAGUCAAAUGGGGUUCCGGGAAAUUCCUGUAUCAAUUUUUCAUUGAUCUGAUCUACAAAAUCAUUUUUUGUAGUUAAAAUUGCUCUAUUAAUUAAUGAGUAUGUAUUUUCAGAAAAUAUGUUGAAGUUUGGAUAGACAGUUGUAAUCAAUUGAUUUAUGGAUUCUGCUUCAUUUGUAUAGCGAAGAAGCAAUGCUUGAGAGAUGUGAAUACUUUCAUUUUUAACUGUGUUUUCUGUUCCAUUACCUAUACGAAGAAGGUACUUGCUAAAAUCAGGAUCUAAUCUUGCUCUCAUGUUUUCCUUCAAUUUUAAUUUCUGCAGAUGAGGCCAAAUAUAAGAUUUUACAAGGCUAGCUUCGAUAAAGUCUGAUUUUGACCCUUUUACAACUACCGGCAGAACUUGCCUAAAAUCACCACCAAAUACCAUCACUUUUGACCCAAAUAAUUCAGAGUUAUCCAUUAGGUCUCUAAGUAAACGAUCUACUCCCUCAAUUCCUGCUCUAUGUGUCAUAGGCGCUUCAUCCCAAAUGAUCAAUUUGGCUUGCUGUAAUAACUUUGCCAAUGAGCUUUGUUUGCUUACUUUGCACAUGUUGUUAGGAUUCAUGUCUAAAGGAAUUUUAAAUCGUGAGUGGGCUGUUCUACCUCCAGGUAAGAUAGAAGCAGCUACUCCACAAGAGGCCGUUGCCAAAGCUAUACAUCCCUUUGAUCUAACUGCAGCUAGUAGUGCACGGUACAAGAAUGUUUUCCCUGUUCCCCCAGGCCCAUCAAUAAAGAAACUUCCUUUGCUGUGUAUAAAAACAGCAUCUAUGAUAGUAUCAAAUGCUACUUUUUGAUCCUCAUUUAAUUUAGAGAUAGCAGCAAUAUCUUCUUCAUUGACUUUAAAGUUUAGCUCAGAAUUUGUGUCUCUUGUACCUCUAUCCAUUUCAUCAAACUUUAAGAUUCGUGGUACUAAUCCAUACAUAUUAAUGUUUUUUCCCAUUGAUUCUAAGAACUUGCUAAUCUCAUAGAGAACUUUAUGUUGGACCUGAUCGUUUGACAAAUUCAAAGUUCUAUUGAAAUCUUCUGACAUAGAUUCUUUGAAUUUUAACCAUAAACUUCUUGGAUCAGCAGGAGUGAAGUAAACUAAUAGGGUAGCAAAUAGUCUUCUAAAGCUAUAUGGCAUGUGGUAUAAAGCUGCUUCUUCUAGGCACUGCUCUUGAGGGUUAUUGGAUUCAAAUAAUCCUCUCAUUAUUGCUGCUUCUCUAAAGGUAUUAACAUAAACACCAUCGACAGUUUUCAGGUCAUCAAAUGAUGUUGGCCCUUUUACAUUCAAUAACAAUAAUCUUAAGAAGUACCUCUCACCCUCACUUGGAUUUGCUGUAACAAUUCGGCCUAUUGAACCUCUUUGUUGCCUAAUAUCCCAUAUGCGUUUACCAGGUUUCCACACAAAAUGUUCAGGAAAUUCUUUGUAUGUGCAUUUCAAUGUUUUGGCUCUCUCAUCAGUAGCAUUCAUAUGGAAAAAUUCAGUUAGCAUACUUUUCUUAGCAAAUUUACUUUUCAAAAGAUCUCUAAGAUCAGCAUCAUCUUUGAAGGUCAGAGAUUGGUAAUUUUCAAGAUGUAGCUGAAGGUUAAUGACAGCAGGAUGUGUUUCAAAUAAGGGAAAUCUGUAAAUUCGCCAAAUGGCUUCAAUAGGAGAAACCCAUCUUGCUGAUUGGUACUCCUUAAUUUCAUCUAUCUCUUUAGAUCUGUCAUCUGAAUUCACAGCAAAGUGUAUUUUAUCAUGUCCCUUAUAUAUGUACUUAUAAGUAUACUUGACUACCUUUAUUGUUGAGCAAAUUUCAACAUUCAUAUGGCAAUUGAAUUUUGCUAACAAGUAAGGAUUAUAUGGAACUACCCAUCUAUUAUCCAAUUCAUGGCCUCGAACUUUUACCUUUUCUCUAUUGCUCCUCCGCCUAUAUGUUGGAUAAGAAUUUUCAGAUUGUGUAGUUUUUUCUGCCCACUGUUUAGGAUAAUGAUUUUUGCAUUUUUUAACUGUUGUACCUUGCAUACACACAUUAUCUGCAUUUUUUUCGCCACAAGGACCAUGCAUCAUGUGCUUGCGAACCAUUUUAAACAAGUGUGGAUGCUCUUUUUUGUCUGGAAUCUCAGCAGAAACUAUGUGAUCAUAGGAUUCCGUUGAAUAUAAUUUAGACGCUGGGUGUAAAAUUAUUAAGAAAUGUGCAUGCGGCAACCCACGUUUUUGGAAUUCAACAACAUAGGUGUAAGCAGCUACUUUACCCAAUACCUCUUUUUUAAACAACUCUUCUUUUAAAAUUUCUAAUUUGGCAUGAAAAACUCUAGCAGAAAGAUCAACACGGUUUUGAGACUCAUCAGUGGGCAGUAAGUUUUCUUUUAUUUCUGGCCAUGAUGGGUUACAAGUCAUUGUUAAAAAAAUGUCAGGUUUUCCGAAUUUUUGAACUAAGGCCAUAGCAUCAACAUACCUUCUUUUCAUAUCACGAGGACCUCCUAUAAAAGAUGCUGGCAAAAUUACUCGUUGCCCUACUUUUGAACCUCUACAUUGGCCCUCAACUACAGAAUCCAUGACACCCUGUAAUUGCUCAGUCCUAAUUUGUUGUUGCCUAUGCCGGAAAAAAUCAAGCCUUUGACUCUCAAUUUUUACGUACAUGUCCACUACAUACUGUUGAAAUGCACGGGCAGUAUUAAGAAUACUUGGUUUAUUUUUCUCCCUCAUCUGGAACCUAUAUGCAUAGUAUUCACGCAUGGACACAUUCUCCUUUGAAUUCUCAAAGUUUUUGAAAGCUGUUUCAAAAAAUUUUAAGCUUCAAUUUACAUUUGGUAAACUAAAAUUGUAUUCAUAAAAUUUGUAUUAUAUUUAAAAACAACUAACCUUUCUCUUCUGAUUCUAUUAUAUCUUCGGCAGAUCUGAAGCUUGUUAAAGUUGCAGUCUGUUGAUGAUUUCUAACUGACCUUUUCCUUUUUUUUGGAUUACCAGUGCCAGAUCUCUGAAUUCCAGGUUGCCACCCUGUUUCGCCAAAGGGAAAUAGAAGUGGAUACUGCAAUGGAUCAUAACAGCCAUAGUAAUAUUGAAUUCUACGGCUUUGACCCUCUUUUGUGUAUACUUGAAUGUGUCUAGCAUAGCUGUCCUGUGAGUUUUCACCUUCAACCCACAGUGCAGCUACUUGGGAUACUGUUGGCUUGUUAAAGACUCGCUGAUCAGUUUGACAGUAAGAUUUCAGGACUAUUUGAUAAUUGUUCAAGUCUGGAACAUGUCUCAGGCUUCGGAAAAAGCAGGCAUAAGGGUUACUUUUCAUGAGUUCCAUGAGUUUCACCACUAUGCUCUCAGUUAGUUUUGUUGAAAAAGCCAAUCGAUUUGCGAUUUCAUGUUCAGUAUCAUGAAAGUAUAACUGCAAAAACAUUCCCGAUCCUCCAUGGGGAAUCAAUUGAUUUAUAAAAUGAUACGUUUGGCCCUGAAUUUUGAAAGUAUAUAUUCCGUUUCUUCUUUGGCAAAGCGAUUUAUCAUAGUUAACUCCAAAAGAGGUGAAAGCGAACAUACUAUUGUAUGUUCUUACAUAGGUUCUGAAACAAAUUGCUUCUUCAGUUUCACCAGUAAAUAGCUCUAUUAAUAUGUCUGGCAUUUUAUUCUCUUCUAAGACUACUUCUCCAUCAGAGCAACAAAAGUUUGCAGACUCAGAAUAAAAUUUUUUGGCUCCGCAGUACUUGCAAUUCUGUUGCUCUGGUAAUCUAUCAGCUUCCAAGCUUAUCGAAGAUAAUGCCUCAAUUCCCGUCACCACCCUUUUAUGUUGUUUGCGUACAUUGUUUUGUUUCCUAAUCGAAGCAUUUUGGUCUUCCCCACAGCUUUUAACUACAUGAAUGGAUCAAAAAUGUCAUUAAUAUGAUUUUUAAUAUGUUGAAGUUUUACAACUUGUUUUAUUAUGUAGAAGGAAUAAACCUGAAUUCUGUUUACACCUUCGUCUUGACAUAUGUUUAGCUUCUCUUGAACGUUUAGGUUCAACUGAAUAUCCUAUUUAUGCAAUGGUGAUCAGUUUUUGUCAAUGGGAUCGCCACUGUUAUAUGAUCAACAAUGGUGAUCAGUUUGUUAGCUAACCUGUUAGAUCCUCCAUUGCUUCAGAAAGCAAGCUAUAGCAAGAGUUGCAGAUGGGUGGUUGGUCUACAAUAUUGGCAAAUAAGGUGAUCACUUUUAGCUAGUAGCUAGGGAGAAAUCUCGGUUGGUAAUGUUUGUUUCAAGAGGAAAGAAUAAUUAAACUUAGCAGUAGGAAACAAUAACUAAACCUGAAGAUUGGGUCGCUUUAGAAUGCUGACACUUUUUUAUCCGUCGAGCUGUAGAAGUAGAACCUAUACAUUUUCCACAGGAUGUUAACUAACAUAUUUUGUAGGUCUCUUUUAAUAUAUCUUUGGAUAUUUGUGAAUUAAAAAUGUUUUUAAUUCUAUGUGGUUCACCUUUGUGAUAUGUUGAAAAUUCUGAAACAUGCUCCUUCUGCCUUCGAUUACCUUCAACUUUGUCUCCAGGAACUAAAUAGAUUGUGAAAAUGUUAUGCCUAUAUGACAUCACAAUAGCCUAAAGGAAAAGGGAUUACAAAAAUAACCUGCCUCACUGUGGUGCUUAUGACCACAGUUAGGUUCCUGAAUGCGAAAAGCCUGCUGUAACAGUUGCUUAUUACUGGUGUGCUCAUCAUCUGAGCAUAGAGAUACAGGCAAAGGUAGUUUAGUUUACAGCCAUACUUGUUGGGAGUUAUUAUAGAGGUAGGUGGGCAUCUAAAUAUUCACUAUAAUGUAGUAUAUACAGCGCGAUACCUUUUCCUCUCAAUACUAACGAGGAGGUAAAAGUAGUCUUUGUCUUUUCUUUUUUACUUUUAUAGGUAUCACGGCGUUUUUUCCGUUGGAUUUCUUUCUGCUCCUCAGUUAAAGAGGCAUAUCUUUGUCUAGCCUUUUCGUUACGUCGAGCUUUUCGGUCGAACAUUUUAGAAGGAUCAAUGUUUCGAUUCAUAGUGGGUUGCUAUGGAAAUGUUGGGUCAACUAACAAAAGUGGUUGGAACUUGAGGUUUACACAAACUUGAACAAUUCGAAUGAAUCCUAAGACACAAGAAUGAAUCCUAAGACACAAGCUUAUUUGUAGUAUACUUCAGCACAGAUUCAGCCUACAAAUAUUAACCACUUUUUGCUACCGAAUGAACUGCAGCUCUUUUAAAAUAAGGAACAACUACAAUACUAAUUGCUUAUGCUUUCAUGUAUAUACACAUGUCAUGAAAUCUACGAGCGAUGAAAGAGCAAAAGAUUUUUUAACUGUACUACAUAAUACUCAAAUCCAAUGUAAACAAAAGAAGAUUGCCAAACAAGCAUAAAUUGUAAACUAACGGAGAUUUCCAAGCAGGCAUGAAUUCAAUGAUAAACACAGUCCACAAAAUCAUUUUUAAAAAAAACAAAACAGCUAUUCCAGCAAGUUUGGAGAAAGGUCGAAAAUGAACUAACCUUUUUUAAAAAGAAACCGAUAAAACUUGAUCUUGAUGAGAAGAGUUUGAGCCUGCAUGACAAAAAAAAUAAUUAACUUGGUAUGAAAGGCCGGAAUUAAUAAACGGACGAAGGAUGCAGAUGAGAACAAACACAUCAAGUCUAAGAAAGCAUGGUAAUUCUUUUUUUGAAAGCAAAAGCCAAAAUCAAAUGGGUAAAAUUACUUGUAUACGAAUCUCACCUCAAUUCCAAGGAAAUUCCAUAUCGGCGACCAAACAUAUCACAGAGAAACAGCUAUAUGUAGCAACAGAUUUAACACCAACCAAUCAUAGAAGGAAAGGAGAGAAACGGAAGAAGAUGGAAGGCUAUGCGUCUAGCAAAUGCGGAAGGAGGAGGAAAGCCAUAGGUGGAAAACGUGGGGGAGCUAAUACUUCAUCUGGUGGCUGUUUAAUAAUUAGAGCCAUUAAGAGGAAUAAAGUGGAAGAAGAAGCAAAUAAGCGGAAAUCAAACCUAAUCAGCCAAGGAAUUAAAGAAGCCCAACAUAAUAAGAGGAACAGAAACUGACAUGGGUGGCAAACAUGGAGAAAUUAAGAGACCGUUUAACAGAGGGAGGUGAAACUGGUGGAAGUUGAAUUAAAAACCUCUCAUAAUAGUCACCAAUAAUCAAAGGGGCUUCGGUGAAAUUUGCAAAGGGGCAAAUGAGAAAACGGUUUUGGGUGGCAGAGGAAGAGAAACAGGGGUCUGACCAUUUAAUGUUAGAUUUGAUUACUGAGGUCCCUUAUUCAGUGCCUAUUCAGUGCUGUGUAAUUAAGCUUAGCACCGGCCACUUCAGGAUUGGCAUACGAAGGAUUAUACUGGUGCAUUUUAUUUAGGAAUUAGUAUUCUACAUAUGGGCUCAUUUGGUAAUAUGAGCCCCUAAGCAAUUAAGAAAGGGACCCAUCAAAAUAAUAAGAGGAGAGCAGACUACAAUGGGUGAUAACGUUGCAAGCAUCAUGGAUAAAAUAGUCAUAUUAACACCAAUCAUUGCAUUAACAACUUGUACAAUAUCAGCUCAACAUCUCUACCUUGUCCAGUUGUCCACUCAAUUGACAACGAUAUCCAAAAAGGGCGGUUGAAACUUAAAGCUUUCUUGCACAACGAAGAUUUUCUUAUAUAUGUAUAGGAUAUUCAAGCAAAACAAACUUUCCAAAGAACCAUCCUAAUUAAUUAAAUUUAUGGAGAAACACUUUAUUGUUAAGCCAACCUAUGAAAGAACCCUCUAUGAUUACUGAUUGUUGUCAUUAGCAUUCUCCACCUUCGAUCGUCCCCUUCCCCUUCACCACAACCCCCUUUGUCCCCUUUUUCCUCCUCUCCCUUUCCCUCUCCUGCACCCCCUUCCCUUCCUAUGCAACCCCUUUCCUGCACCUCCUCACCUUCUUUCUAUGACUAAAUUUAUCAUAGGAGAGAGAGGAUAGGCUUUGAGGAAAGGGUGAUUUGGUCACAACCUCUUCUCUCUCUCUUUCACAACAAAUUAUGGUCAUUGGAAGGAGAAAGGAUGCGAAGAAAUGGCUGUGAAAGGAGAAAAGGGAGCGGGAUGCAAGAAAGGUGGUGAUGGAGAAGAGAAUGGUGGUGGCAAGAGGGGAGUGGUGGUGGAGGAAGAGAUGGGGGUAGUAUUUUAUUUUUAUUUAUUUAUUUAAUGUAUAGAAAUAAGGUGAGUUUAUUUAGGAGUUUUUAUUUAUUUAUUUUAUGUAUAGAAAUAAGAUGGGUUAUAUUUGAAAAUUUUUAUUUAUUUGUUUAUUGUACAGAAAUAAGGUGAGUUAUAUUUGAGAGUUUUUAUUUAUUUUAUGUAUAGAAAUAAGAUGAAUUGUAUUUAGGAGUUUUGGAUUGUUUUUGAGAAUAUUAUAAGUUCUAAGCGGUUUAAUAGGUAUAUCAGCUAAAAAUUUGAUUUAAAAAAUUAUUUUCCAGGUCAAGCACUUGCAAUAGAGGCACGUUUAUCUCAAACUCAUUAAUUUAAAUGAUUUUUUAUUGAUUUUUCACGUUAGUUCAAACCACGAAAUACUAAAUUGUAUGACUUGAAAUCAUAAGAGGCUUUUUCUAUAGGUUUGCUUAAUCAUAAGGGGCUUUCUGCAUUUUACCAUUUUAUUUAACUUUAUUUAACUUUAAGGAUAUGAUAGGUAUAUCAUCAGAAUUUUUAUUUGUUUCCAGUAAAUACUCACAAAAGAGGUGCGUGUAUCUCAAACGGAUUAAUUCAGAUGAUUUCUAUCAUUUUUUUAAAGUAGUUCAAACUACAAGGUAUUGGAAUGUAUGUUUUGAAAUUAUAGGGACUUUUUUGUAUUUUAUCCAAAAAAUUAAAAUGAUAUGUUUCAUCUCACAAAUUUUAGAAAAAAACUAUUUUUUUGUCCUUUACUUUUAAAAUGAAGCUAAUCAAUCCCUCACAGUUUUAAAACAAUGCAAAUCAAUGCCAAAAUGACAACCUGAUAUAGAUUUCAAGGGUAAAAUUGAAACAUCACUUUAGUGUUAACCAAAUCUAAGUAUAUCUGACAUAUACAUCAUAUUAAGUCAAUAGAAAAAGGAAAAAAAUUCAAAAUUACAGCAUAAGAAAAACCUUCUCUCUUAAAAAUUAAAAAUUUUGAGAAAGUGAUAUUAGGUUAACAUAAAAAAAAUUAAAAUUAUGACAUAAAAAACAAACCAUUCACUUUAAAAAGAAGAAAAUUUUAAAAAUUAUAACAUCAAAAACAAACCCUUCACUCUAAAAAGUUUUAAAAUUUUUGAAUUAUAAAAUUUUGAUUGUUUCUUUUUGUGUUGACUAAUGUCAUUGCCUCAAAAAAUUUUAACUUCUUUUAGGCAGAAAUGUUUGUUUUUUAUGUCAUAAUUUUUAUUUUUUCAUUUUAUAGUGACUUAAUGUCAUGUACGCAUUAUAUGUAGCUAGAUUUGGAAGAACUAAGAUGAUGUUCCAAUUUUAUAUCUAAAAUCUAUAUUAUAUUAUCAAUCUGGAACUAAUUUGUUUCAUUUUUAAAAUGUGAGGAACUAGCUUGUAGCAUUUUAAAAAUGAGAGAUAAAAAAUAUUUUUUGCCAAAAGUAAAAAAUGAAAUAGGUCAUUUUUUCAACAAAAAAUGCCAUACACAUUAAUUAUCUUUGCAUGUUAAUUAGUUCCAUCAUCAAUUAUGUGGCAAAUGUUAUGUCAAUAGGUGGGGUAUUAAUGAGGUCAGAUUCCCACUCUGCUCCAAAAAAGAGAAAGCAGAGGUAAAUGAUGGAAAAUUGACUUGAUAAGAGAGGAAUCUAGUACAUUUUUGUUCUUUUUCCACCUAUAAAGGUGCUUUUGUAAGUCUAGAUCCAGAAUUUCUUGAAAAGUUUUGUCUGAUCAGAUUAGUGGUAUUGGUGAUUUAGUUCCGCUCAGUUCCCCUCUUAACCCCUUUGAUCAUCCCCUAGGAGUAGGUCUAAAUUAUAAUAUAUCGUGUCUGAAAAAAAAAACCUAUAAAGGUGCCUUGGUUUCGGCUUGUGGAAAAUUGAUCGUUGCUUGUUCAUACCAGGACCAAGGCUUUACUGUAGCAUCCAAAACCGUGGACCUAUAAAAAUGUCUUGGUCAUGGCCUGCGAAAAUUGAUCAUUUUAUGUUCAUUCCAAGGGCCAAGACUUUGCUGUAGUAUCCAAAACCGUGGACCUGUAAAAGCGUCUUGGUUAUGGUUAUAAGUAGCAAAUAAAUUUAUUUAACUAAAUUUAUUCAUAUCUGUUCACGAAUAGACGAACUAAUAGUUUGAAAAAAAAAACGGAGUUAUUAUUGAACUAAACUAACCAAAUUUCAAUUAAAUUUUGUUAAAUGGAACCUACCAGGUUGCUAUACUACUUAUUGCAAUUUAAAAGUGCAAAUUCAAUAUAGAGAAAUCCCAAUUCAUCAACUAUAUAAUUAUUGCGCAUUCAUGAAUAUAGAUUUUGGGAAUGAAAAUUAAAAAAUUUUAAUAAUAUUAUAUAGGUAUAAAGCAAAACUUGUUUGUUAAUGAUCCACCCCAAAGCCAUCUUGAAUCUAUCAUGAUUCCACUUGAAUGUUUCUUAAAAAAAAAAAAAAAAAACUUGUUUUCAAAUCAUUGUAACUUAGUUUUGAAAAAAAAAAAAACUUGUAACUGUGAAUUAGUGCAUGAGAAAUUUAACUAUUAAACACUAGUUAUUUCAUUCUUCAUCCUUCGUAUACUUUGUUUGAUAUCCACCGUCCCAAUACUAGUAGCGGUAAUAUGUCACUACUACAAUCCUAAUAAUCAUUUCUUUCACGUCUCAGUCUCAGGGCGGGGUGCUUGCGCUAGCAUUCCUUGUCUCGUCUGCUUUACCUUUUUUAUCCCCCUUUUAUCUAAUGGGGAGAAGAAAAAUUAGAAAAGCUGAAAAGAAAUGUAAAAGAGAAGGCAUGUCUCCAGAAAACGUCAAACCUACAAUUGAAAGUGGACGAUAUUUGCGUCGCAUUCUUUCGGUAAUCUCAUCUCAGAUGCAAAAGUUUGCUGGGAUAGUUCUUGGAUUGUGCAGCAACUGGCUCUUUGUUUUUUUUGCUACUACAGGAUAUGAUACCAUGACAAUAAAGUAGACAAGUGGAUCUAGCUUCUUGAUCACUCCAAGCAUUUGAGAGGUUCUUGUUUUUUCUUUUUUUCUUUUUUUCAACAAAUGAUAACAGCUUUAUAGAUAUUAACACUUGAUAGUACAAGGAUUAAUUUGAGAGGUUCUUGUUGAAAGGAAAGAAAUUCAAAGGGCCCUGUUUGUUGUUCAGCUUCUAAUGUUCCUAAUUUUCACCAUGAAAAUUGUUAUUUGGUCUCUGCACAAAGUUGUUGGUAGAUGUCUGCGAUGUUACAAUGAGUACCAUUAAUUAGGUCUUAAAUAUCUUGAAAGAUUUUGCACUCCAAAAGGUAGUAUAAAUAAAGCUAAAGUACAAUGACAGGAUCGACGGGAUGAAAUAACCGAGGAGCAAAAUUCAAUAAUGUGUCCAGAUUAUGAAAUGGAAAAGAUGCGCUUGAUUACUGUAGCUUAUUUAGGUCAGUAGAAAAGGUGAACAUGAUGGAAAGAAAGGAUCUCAGGCAAAUAAUAAAAUGAAGGCAAGGAUAAAGAUGAAUUAUUCCACCGUCCCAAAACACGACAGCAGCAGCACCUUUAUCUUUUUUGGAGGGCUCCCAGACGUCCCUACCAUGUAAAUCGAACUGCUUUCUUAUUGACUGGAAGAGAAAAUGAACCACGUGAGAAUCGAGCCUCUCUUCUGAGAUCAGUUAAAAACAACAGAGAUUAGAAGUUUUGCAGCUGCACCUAACAGGCAAAAGCUUCUCCUCCUUUACUAGUUGUUCAAAGCAAAGCUCACUUUACCACGAUGGCUGACCCUGCUCUCUCUUUUGUUAUUGAGAGAACUGGCGAUCUGCUGAUUCAAAAAAUUGUUUUCCUGAAAGGCGUUCGACGACAAGUUGAGAGACUUCGAAAUGAUCUGGCCCGGAUGCGGUGUUUCCUGAAAGAUGCAGAUCAAAGGCAAGAUGAAGAGGAGAGGAUUCGCCACUGGGUUUCUGAAAUCCGAGAUGCUGCCUACGAUGCGGAGGAUAUCAUUGAGAUAUUUGCCAGCAAAGUUGAGCUCUUCACAAAGGACGAGGGAUUGGUCACCAAAUUGACAUAUUAUCCCUUGAAAAUUGUGAACUUCUACAAGAUAGGUAAAGAGAUUGAGUCCUUACAGAUGAGGAUCAAUGACAUAGCCGACAGCCGUGAAAAAUACGGUAUCAAAAAUCUUGGAGAGGGAACGAGUACACAUGGAGAAGAGCUUCAACGGCUCCGACGGUCCUCUCCAGUUACUGAGGACAAGGAUAUAGUGGGCUUCGUGGAGAUUACAAAAUCGCUGGUGGCAGAACUUUUGAAAGAGGACGAAAACCGCCGUGUGGUUUCAAUCGUUGGCAUGGGAGGUGCUGGUAAGACAACUCUAGCCAAAAAAGUUUAUAACCAUGCUGAUGUCAGGGCAAGAUUCAACUGCCGUGCUUGGGUAUGUGUCUCUUCAAGCUAUGAUCACAAAAAGAUACUAAGAUCAAUCAUAAAGCAAUUAAAUCCAAACGAUGACAAGCUAUCUGAAAUGUUGGAAAAGAUGGAAGUGGAAGAGGAAGUGUUGGAAGAAAGGCUCUAUAAAGAUCUCCAAGACAAAUGUUGUCUUGUAGUACUUGAUGAUGUAUGGAAGGAAGCAGCGUGGGAUUGUCUAUCCAGGAGGGCAUUUCCUGAUGUUGGCACAUCAAGUAGAUUGCUGCUUACAAGUCGCAAUCGGGAAGUUGCCGUACACGCAGAUGCUCUUAGCAACCCGUGUGAGUUGAAAACUUUGGGACAGGAAGACAGCUGGCAGUUGUUUCUCAAAAAGGCCUUAGGUCAUGGGGCUAAUGCUGGGUGUCCUCCGGAUUUGGAAGGAGUAGGCAGAGAGAUUGCAAGGAGAUGUGCCGGUCUGCCACUAGCCAUCACGGUUAUAGGUGGUCUGCUACUGGGCAAGAAAAAGUUGAAGAGUGAAUGGGAGAAAGUUCUCGACAACUUUAGAGCAUACCUAUCAAGCAGCCAGAGUGAAGCAGGGGCAAUUCUGGAAUUAAGUUAUGCAGACCUUCCUCCCAAUCUGAAACUUUGCUUUUUGUAUUUGGGUUUGUUUCCUGAGGACUCCUUCAUUUCUGUGCGCAAGUUGAUCCAUAUGUGGGUUGCAGAGGGAAUAAUGCAGAAAAGAGAAGCAAAAAUUUUGGAGGAAACUGCAGCAUAUGAUGAUGUGAAGCGACUUUGUAGCAGAAAUAUGGUCCAAGUGGCGGAAAUGACUGUUGAUGAGAGGAUUAAAAGCUGUAGAGUCCAUGAUGCACUGCGAGAGCUUGCAAUCAGAAAGGCAGAGGAUGAAAUUUUUUUUCAGAUCCAUGACACCAGAGAUGAUGAAAUAUCAGCCAAAUCCAGGUACCUUGCUGCUCAUAUUCUCCCUCUGGAUAAAAAUUAUUUUGGGUCUUCGGCCCCUCCUCUCCGGUCUCUGCUUUUUUUCAAUAUCCACGGUUACAGGGAAAACAUUAGUCUUAGCUUCAAAAGUUUCAAAAAGCUUAGGAUAUUAGACCUUGAGAAUGCUGAGAUGGGUUAUGAUUUGCCAAAAGAAAUUGGUAAAGUCAGGCUUCUAAGGUACCUCGGUUUAAGACGCACAUCUAUUGGAAGGCUCCCUCAUUCCUUCGAUUGCUUGCGAAACCUACAAACUCUUGACAUACGGAACAUUAACCGAGUGAUAGUUUCAAAUUUCAUUUGGAAGCUUGAAAGUUUACGGCAUUUAUAUGCGUAUAAAAUGGAAUGUGAUGUGCCUCUUAAAAUUGAAGGAUUGAGGAAUCUCCAGACUCUGUCACGCAUACACUUUGAUGACAUUAUGCACAAUAACAUGAUAACUUUGACAAGUCUUCAGAAACUGGGGAUUUGGGUGGAUGACAGAUCAGACAUAAACAAACUCUGCAUGCAUUUAUCUGAGGUUGGAAGCCUAAAGGCGCUACGUCUUUAUUUUGAUGGAGGAAGCGAGUGGCCAUCUCUAGGUGGACUUUCUAAGCUCCAGCAUGUAACAGCGCUUAAGCUGUUCGGGCUGGGUUUGAGAUCGCUACCUCCUGAUUUCCCUUCAAAUCUCUCUUGCUUGUCUUUGAGUUUCACACGUCUCCAGGAUGACCCAAUGCCAGCACUAGAGAAGUUGGGACAGCUGUCGUUCCUCAAAAUGGAAUUUUCAUAUUGGGGACCACAGCUAGUCAUUUCUACGCAUGGGUUUCACCAAUUGAAAUUCCUUGAGCUCAACUUCCAACAUGGUUUGAAGGAAAUAGAGGUGGAGAAAGGUGCACUGCCACAGCUCCAGUGCCUGAGAAUCAGGAAGUGCCUCUCAUUAGAGAAGUUGCCGGAAGGGCUGAAGUACAUGUCUACUCUUGAUAAGCUUGAGCUUGUAGACAUGCCAGAAGAUUUGAUCAGUAGGCUUGAUGUGAGAGAAGUUGCCGGAAGAGCUGAAGUACAUAUCUACUCUUGAUAAGCUUGGGCUUGUAGACAUGCCAGAAGAUUUGAUCAGUAGGCUUGAUGCGGACAUGAUAUCCAGUGUUCCUAACCUCAGAAUAUUUUGACUCUGGGAUUUCGCAGAAGGAAGGAGGUUCAUAUUUGUAAUUCUCGCGCAGAAUGGAAGUUAUGUAGUGUAUUUCAAGAUUUAUCAAAAUACUAGAGAAUUGUUUCCCACACAAUGCGUGGCAGUAUUAGACCUGUUGAAAAGGCCAUUGAUUGUGUAGAGAAUAUUUUCUCCUGAAUGAUAAUAUUUUCUACUGAAUUAUAAUUACAGUAGCGCGAUGCAAGGCACAUUAAAAGGCAUAAAUCAAUAUAUCAUGAUGCAUGCUCCACAGAGGGUCAUAGAAACCUAAACAACAAAGGAUAGCAAUAAAGAACAAUUACGCUCUGUCUUGUUUAAAAAUUGUAAAUCAACAUAACUAAGGCUUUUGCUAAUUUUUUACUACAUCUUGACAUCAUCUCUUUUCUAAGAUAUCACGGUGCAGAUUAUCCAAAUGUGAAUGUUGAAUAUCUUGCAAUUCUUCGAAACUGAUAUUAGUUGAACUUAGUGAAACGCUACCAAAAUCAGGCAACACAGCUCCGGGAGAAGGGAAGAGGAGAAACAAAGUACACCUGAUAUUUGAAGUUAACCAGAAGUUGUAGCGUCAAAGCCCAAAGUGCCCUCAGAGAUGUUCAUGCGAUACCCACUGAAGCAAACCAUUAUAGCAGCAGGGUAAUUAAAGCAAAGUUCAUGUCCAUGCGCAAAACCAGAGAAACAAAUAUAACAAAGAUAGCUGCAACAAAAUGAUUGAAGAGUGAGAUAUGUUAAAAGUCUCUAUCACUCCAGUUAGGAUCUGUCUAGUGAAUAAUCCCCUUUCAAAGAAUUAAGUUAUGGAACUUAGAAGUGCUUAUCUAUGACAGAAAUUAAUCAGUGCAUGACCAGCAUCAACUUCCUAAAACCAAAAUUGAAACAAAAACCAAAUUAUAUCAAACAAAUGAUGAUUGACUGCAGAUUCUACUUAUUGAUCCCCAAAACAUGUGAAAAAUUAAAACCAAGACGGUAGGAGCUGAGAAAGUAUUCUUUGACUGGUCUUUGGUCCUAACCACGACAGUCACUAACACGACAAUGCAGUUAACGGCAAAAUUAAUGUUUCAUAACAUAUAAUUGCUGCAUAAAAUUUCUGGGUUCCUCCUAGCUUAAUGAAAUUGAUGUUUCUAGGUCUAUCAAUGUAUUGUUUCCAAUGGAAUUCAUCCAACAAUAAAUCAACAUACCACAAGACUGGAACAAAAAAAAUUGAUUAAUUAAAAGAUAUAGAGAAGAUACACAAAAUGAUCAAUCAGGCUUAGAUCUGUAACAAGAGGAGGCAAAAUGGAGGGAGGCACCACCAUGGUUGCAAAUUCUCAGUUACAUAUGCGAAUGAGUUCCAUCUCAUCCCAGAAGCCAUCUGGGUUGCCAGCCAAGAUAUGGGUUUGAAUUUACCUCUAUGCAUUUCACCAUCAAUAACUCAAUAAAAGAUUUUCAUCGUUCCUGCCAGGAAAUAUACACAAACCUCAAUGCCUAAAAGCAAAAAUGCGAGAAUAAUUAUGAUUAUAGAGCAAAUACGAGAGUAAGAAAUUACAUGAAACAAUUUAAAAAGGCGAAAUUGAACUAAAUAUACCUCUCUUAGGUCUCUCUCUCUCUCUUAGUCAAAUGACACAAAUGUCCAGUUUACAUGCCAUGGCAGAUUGAGGUUUCUUAGCUGCUGAUAAGUAUGGCCACUAUAAAAACAAAUGCCAACCCAAAAGCUAAUUUACCAACAAAAUUCAAACUAAUAUAGAAAACAUUAGCAUCUAGAUGAAACGAGGUGAAUACGGCAAUCUUAGGGCAUGAGUUUCGGAGCUGACACAAUCUACAUACCAUAUUCAUGAAGAGGAGCAUCAUAAUCAUAGCUAGUGGCAAUAAAUUGUCCACCACCUAUCCUGCCCAAGUUUGUUCCUCCAUGAUAUUGCUAUAAAGACAAGAAACUAAGAAGACAAUCACAAUAGUAAUUUAGUAGGAAUUUGAGGAAAAAUAAUUUUUAAAGCACUAAACUUUACCAUGUAGUAAUAGUUAAUUAAAAAGCCCCAUUUUCAAUAAAUUCUGCAAGAGAAAAUGCCAAGUCUUUAGCCGGAUGGUAAGUUACUACACCUCUGAAUUCAAUAAACUUGGAAAAAAUGGAUAAAAAUAGAGUCACUUCCUGUCAUAAAACUCCAAGAACCACGUGUAACUCUCUAUAAAAAAAAAAAAAAAGAAGCAAUAACUGACCGUCUAGUUCAGGUUUCUAACCACAUCUUGGGUUUAUAAGCCUUAUUUGGGGAGAAAUAGUCACAGUAGAAGCCGUUGCAUGUAUUUGUCUGGGCAAAAGUAAAACAGACAUACUAUUAGGGUAUUUAUUAUCCUCUACUUCUUGAACAUACUAUAAGGACAUUUAUAAAAGUAUAAGCUACGUUGUACUGGUCUAAUACAACUUGAAAAAUCUUAUUUUAUGUAUAUUGUGCUAUUUAAAUAAAUGAUCCCCAUUAAUUCUGAAUUUCACAUUAUCUACACCUUAAAUGAAGCAUAAGCUCAACUCAAUGCUAAGCUUAUAGGAAAUGUCUACAAGGCAUAAGCUAUUCAACAAGAUGCUUUUCAAUGUACUAAUCCUAGUUCACCACCUUGUACAUCACAUAUUAAAUAAAAUACUAUGACUUACCAUCAUUUUGAUGAUAAACUAUUAAUAUUAGCCUAUUAUAAAACGUGACUUACUAUCAUUAUCUAGUGAUAAGUUACUAAUGCCAUUAAUACACCAGGUACCAAUGUUAAGUAAUACAUGUAAAGCAUCUAACGAUUUUCUUAUUAUUUCAAAAAGUUGUCCAUAGCCCACUAGUACGAUUGCUGGAAAAGUAGUAGUUCAGUCUUAAAAUCUUGCCUCUUGCACACUACUUUGUCCGUUAGGGAACAAUGAAUCAAAGAAAAGCUCUGGAGAUUCUUUUUUAUUUUUAGAAAAAAAUAUUUAUGCACUUUGUUCGCUCAUUUGAAAAUGGUUUGGCUUUAUUUUACUGAGUAUUCAUCAUGGUCCACUGAAUGAUUCAAUGGGAACUUAGAUCUACUUAAUCAUGCAUAGCUACACACAAAUUAACAGUGGCAUUUUGUGAAGGUUCCAACAACAUUCGCUAAAUAAUGGUAGUUCUUCACAGUAGUGUCAAAGAUUUAGGAAUCUUUCUUAUCUCAAGGAUGUAAGGAAGGAUGAUCAAGGUGUUUCGUUCUAUUGUUGGGAAUGUAUUGACUAAUUCUAAUGCUAUAUGUUAAACUAAUUAAUCCAUAGCUUGAAAAUCAGUUUGUUGUGUUUGACAAAUAUGUUGAAAUAAUUGUCUCAAAGGCUGAGAAAUAUGUGUAAUACAUUGAAGCAAAUAUGUUGAAUCGAUCUCAAUUUGCUUUUGACAAAAAUGUAAUUUUUGAGGACAAAAUAGAGCCAUGAAUAGAUGAACACCCCUGAGGUUGUGGUGAAAGUCUUUAAUGCUUAAAUUUCUAUGAAAAUUAGUCUAAAAUCCAAAAUGCAUUUCUAUUAGCCAUCAAUGGAGAGUUCGAAGACAGGCCCUUUGUUCCCCUCCAAAGAAAAACCAGCAUAAAAAUAGGAAGUUAGAUAUAAGGGACUCUUCCAGUUUAGCAUAAUUUAACGCAAAAUUAAUCAUAUGCAGUAUAGCCCUAUUAAAGUUUUUCUCUUCGUGGAUGUAGGCUUGGUGAUUAAGCCGAACCACGUUAAUUCUUGUGUGUUGUUCAUCGUCAUGCUAGAUAUUGUUUUCUAUUAAAUUGUUGGUCUUUUCCUUUUCAAAAUAAUUGGCCUGAUACCCUAACAAGUGGUAUCAGAGCUCCGUUGGGGUUUUGGUUAAUUAUUUGAAAUUGAGUGGGUGGUAGUAUACCAUGGGAUUUGGAACUAUACAGUUUCCAAUUCAACCGUUUAAUGGAACUACAAGUUUCACUCUUUGGCAAAGAAGAGUGAAGGAUAUUCUAGUUCAACAAGGUUUGGCAAAAGCGUUGAAUGGAAAGAACAAGAAACCAGAGAGCAUGAAUGAUGAUGAGUUUGAAGAGUUGGACGCAAGGUGUGCGAGCACGAUUCGGCUUUAUGUGGCGGACAACAUCAUAAAUAAUGUGAUAGAUGAGGAAGAUUCUGCAGCAGACCUCUGGAAAAAAUUGGAAAAGCUUUAUCUGGCUAAAAGCUUAUCCAAUAAGUUGCAUCUAAAGCGGCAACUUUAUGCACUAAAGAUGGAGGAGGGUGGCAGUCUCAUGGAUCACAUGAAUACGUUCAACGGAAUUUUGGAUCAACUCCAAAAGGUUGGCGUGGAUAUUGAGGAAGAAGAUAAGGCCCUUUUACUUCUUAUCUCAGUCUCUGAUUCUUACGAAAGUGUCGUGACAACUCUGUUGUAUGGAAAUGACACUUUAGAGUUCGAGAAUGUGCAGUCUUCUUUGUUGGAUCAUGAAAAACAAAGAAAGGCAAACCAAGAUGUGACACUAGAAGCUGCUUUAAUUGCUCGAGGUGAGAAUAAAAGAGGAAAAUAAUUUGGCGGUGAAUCUAAGGCAGGUGGUUCAAAGGCCAAGAGAAAGGGUGGAAUCUAGUGUUUUGGUUGUCAUGAGUUUGGCCAUAUCAAAAGAUAUUGCCCUCAUCGAAAGAAAAAUGAUGAAAAUGACUAUGAUAAUGUUGCUGGAUAUGCAUCAGGUGGAGAUAUUCUCACAAUCUCCAAAGGUAAUAAUACUUCUUCUCGUGAUGGUUGGAUUUUAGAUUCUGGAUAUGUUUCACAUAUUUGCUCCAGGUUAGAUUAUUUUGAUACUCUCUAAAGAAAGAAGGCAGGUUUUAUGUCCUUGGGUGAUGGAUCUACUUGUCAAGUCAAAGGUAUUGGAGUGGUGAAAAUCAAAAUGUUGAAUGGCGAGAUUCGUUCUUUGGGUGGUGUGGCUUAUAUUCCAAAGCUACGAAGGAAUCUAAUUUCUUUGAGCCAGUUAGACUCCGAGGGUUACCAUUUUUUCCGCGGCAGGUGGAGUCUUAAAAAUCACACAUGACGAGACGGUCUUGUUAAUGGGGAAGAAGUAUGGUAAUUUGUACCAUUUGAAUACCUCAAUGGAUUGGGAGCGGAAGGGGAUCCAAGAAUGCUCUCAAAUUACAAAUGGUGGUGAGAGGAAAAAACCUGCUAUAGGAGAGGGUGAAUUGAGGCCCCUCUCGCGAGUCAACUAGAUGUUGGACUCGGUUAGCUACACACGUUCAUUUGCCGAUUGAAUCAAUUGAAAACAAGACCGUAUUGAUUCAGGUGUGUAGCUAGGCACCAAGGGACUUGGUGGGAAAAAGCAAAUGGAGUUUUUUUUGGAUGGUUUGCUGUGUUUGCUAAAAGAAAUUUUCGCCAAGGUGGAGAUUUGUUAGGAAAUUGGCUUAAUUUCUUUUGGGUAGAAUUCUUAUUUGGUGUGGAAAGUAACUAGUUUCCUACUUAGAUUUUAGUUACUUGAAGUAGUAGUCAAGUAAAGUCCUAUUUGGUUUAGAAUUAGAUGUUGUUUCCUACUCUAUAUGAGUUUAAGAAUUAGUAUUGGUUUCUAAUUGUUAUUUGGUUUUUUGGUCAAGUAAUGUUCUCUAUAAAUAGGUAGAUUGGCAUACUACAAAAAUACAAGAAAGGAGUGAGAGAGUUCUUAGUGGGUGAGAGGGUUAUACAAGAGUUGGGGCUUGGGAAUCAAGUUGUAAUCUUGUGGUGUUUUUCUCAUAGUAAGAAUAAGUUUUUCUCUCCGUGGAUGUAGGCUUGGUGAUUAAGCCGAACCACGUUAAUUCUUGUGUGUUAUUCAUCGUUCAUGGUAGAUAUUGUUUUCUAUUAAAUUGUUGGUCUUUUCCUUUUCAAAUAAUUGGCCUGAUACUCUAACAGAAGUCCCAUCCAUUCAUUUCAUUUCUCUUCCUUCCUUAUUAAAACUCCCAAAGGAAUCAAAUGGUAAGACUUUCUCUCGGGAUACUUUCUUUCCUGUCCUUUUCUCUCAAUCCAAAUGAAGCCCAACUCUGCAUGCGUUUAUCUGAGGUUGGAGCCUAACGACGUUACAUCUUCAUUUUGAUGGAGCCAGAGGAAUACCAGGGCAGUUGCCAUCUCUAGCUGGACUUUCUAAGCUCCAUCAUGUAACAGAGCUUAAGCCAUCUAGGUUGUUGAGAAUGCAGCCUCCUGAUUUCCCUUCAAAUAUCUGUUGCUUGUCUUUGAAAUGGACAUUCCUCAGGGAUGACCCAAUGCCAAUACUAUAGAAGUUGGGACAGCUGUCGUACCUCAAAAUGAAAGAUGCCUACCGAGGACAAUAACUAACCAUUUCUAGGAUAUGGCUUUCACCACUUGAAAUUCCUUGACCUCAGAGACCUAGAUUAUUUGGAUAAAAUAAAUGUGGAAAAAGCUGCAUUGCCACAACUCCAGUACCUGCGAAUCAGGGAAUGCAGCUCAUUAAGCAAGUCGCCGGAGGAGCUGAAGCACAUGUCCACUCUUGAUAAGAUUGAGCUUGUGAACAUGCAUGCCUGAAAGUUUUGUUAGUAGGCUUGAUGCAUGUGCGAGACCAGCACAAGGGCUCCGCUGCCCCUUACCUCAGAAUAUUUAGGGGUCGAAGAGCGUGGCAUAGAUCGAGCAGAAAAAAUUUGCCGGAACGAAUUGAAACUCACGCACGAGUCAUAAGGGCAGCUGUUCUUUUCCAAGCGGCUGGUUAACCAUCAUGAUGGUAACAUUAGAAAGCAAGGUGAAGUUUGCCAUCUUCAUUGCUUGUACCGAUUUCUCUCUAUUUAUUCCUUCUGGUUGCCAUCUUGAGGUCGCCGGUCCCGUGGACUAUAAUAACUUCAUUGUGUAUUUCUGGUUUUAUAUUUCUUGCUUUUUCAUCUUCAUUGUGUAUUUCUGGUUUUAUAUUUCUUGCUUUUUCAUCUCCGGUGAGGAGGCUCCUUAUGGUGUAUGUGCUGCAGGCUGAUUUUCAAUGCAAUAAAUCAAUGAAAUCAUUUCCCUCUUUUAUCAAAAUAAAUAUAUAACUAAAAUAUUCUCCAUUCAAUGUACUUACUUUGCCACUAUUUUACUCUUUAUUUUGUCCAUUUUAUAUAAUUCGGACCCUACUUAAGUCCUCUUUUUGGGUGAAAUGUCACACUUCAAGACCUGCUUUUUCAAUCUUCCUCCUAUUAAACAAAGAAUGGCAGUUGUAUGGCUAAUUUUUUUUUUUUUUUGGGAAAAUUAACGGUGUCUAUACCUAUAUCAAUUUACAUUCAAUAUAUCAUGGUGAUACGCUGAUACUAGUCUUAAUAAUCCAUGAACACUUGUGUCUUCAAGGCCUAUAAGUCCUGACACUAAAUUGUCAGCAUAUGGAAAUGUUUAAUUUAACAAAAAAAUAGAACGAAACAAAGGCCACCAUCCAUCCUGUCUAAAAACUGAAAAAAGAAGAAAAGGAAUCCAUGUAGAAGAGAAUAAAGGAUUAACCGUAGCAAACAAAUCAAGGAAUUCAUCCCUUCUAAACUGUUGGAUUAUCUGGAACUGAGGGUUCAUUAUUUCCUAUACACUACUGAAAACAUAAAGAUGUAAAACAAAAGACAACAAACUCAAAUGUGCGAAAAGGAAAUGACAAACUGUCCAUCUACAUUGCUUGGAAAUAAAGAUUGAAGAGGAAAAAUUUUGUGUUUUUUAAAGAUGGUACUUUACUUUCUAGCUACUAACACAGCACUCACAGUUGACAGAUUUGUCUGUCUAAAAUUACAUCAUACCUUCUCCGUUCAAGGAAGAUUAACCCACAGCUAAAGUUUAGGGAUACAUCCAAUAAGAAAUCUUUUCCUCUUAGUUUUACUCCAAAAAGAAAAACUAGUGAUAGCAUCUUUGUGUAAAUCACUGUCAUAAUAUUUGUGUAAAAGUGAUUGAGCAUUUUAUGCAGUGGCCAUAACAUACAAAAUUAAUUGCUCAUACAGAAUUAUAUAAAAGAAAUAAAUCUCAAAUGGAGCCUCCCUAUUUUUGAGCUGCGUUUCUUCUACAAAACUUUUAAAUUAAGAAGCAGUUUUAAUACCUGUUUUUAAACCCGUGAAAAUGGAACUUUUAAAGUAAGUUGUGUACUUCAAACUUACCAUCUUGAAUUAUUGAUAUUUUAUUGGAUACUUAAAUCUUUCCUUUUUCUUGACAAGUUUUUGAAUUUUCUAAAAACUAGUUCAAGUAAAGCUAAAACUUCUUUCAGAAAAAUCGAAAAAAAAAAAAGAAGCUAAAACUUUUAAUUUAGACAGAUAAAUAAAGGUAAAGAGUUAACUAGGAAAGGGCAAAAAAAGGAGUGAGUUCAAUUUUCUGAAAAUGAAGGCAUGUUAUUAUUUAAAAGAGUUAAGGGGGCAAAACAAAAAGAAAUUUGUUACAAUAAGGCAAUAUAAAAGUAAGUUUUUUUUUUAUCAGAAACGAUAUAUUUGUAUAACUUACUCUAUACUAAUCUAGGGAGGAAGGGGAGCCUAAGGAGGCUGUAGUAGGAGCUAGUAGAUAUACAGAUCCAACUAGAUCAAGAAAAUGUUAUGACACAACCUUAAAUUUUUUUCGUUGCAAAUGAGAUUUGAACCCUCACCUACAGCGUGAGGAGGGACUUAAUGGUGACCACUGAGCCAUUGGCCUGGUUAAGUCAAAUCGUCAAAAGACGCAAAACCGCCCAGGUACAAUGGUUCUCCAAUGAAAACAAAACAAAGCAAAACAAGAACUCUGUCACUCAACUGGACCCCAUUCGAGCCAAAUUGAACAUCUUUGACUAAGCACGAGUAUUAAGAAGAAACAAAAUUGAAAGUGAUAAUUUUAGUAUUUAUUUAAAAAAAUAAAAGGUUUAUCAGCAAAAUUUCUGAAGUGACAUAGUAGUAAUUGCGGUUCGAAGUUUAGGUAUAAAAACUCUACAUUUGAAAUUCGUUUAUCGCAAAUCAUUUAUUGGACAUAUCCUUCAAAGAUGGAGCGCCCAUAUGCAGUCAGAUUUCUGCAUUCGUUGUAAAAAUUAAAAGUUUAGUGUUUUUGGGUUAUGUUAGCAUCUACAUUGGAUAUUCUCAUUUUGUCUUCAAUAUUACAUUCUAGAUUUGUAUGUCUACGUCAUAGUUAUAAAAUCGGCUCCAUUCAAUCAUUCAACCGGUUAAUUUGAUGAAUUGGUCACUUAAUCAAGUUGGGUUAACAGUUAGAUUGAAUAGAGAAUAUAUUCAUUAACCUGUCAAUGACUCGAUGAAUCAAUCAAUAAAAUUAAAAAUCAUUGGUUGAACCACUAAUUUAAAAAAUCAAAAUAAUAUAAUAUAGUUACUAGUCGGGCUAAUCAAUCCAGAAUUGGACGAACAACCUGUUGAAAUGAUCACCUCUUUGAGUUGAGGUUCGAGUUAAAUGUUACAACUAUGGUCUACAUUAUCUCAAAUGUUAUUCUCCCAAUUAUUGUGGCCAAUUAUUGUGGAUUAAAUUCUUGUAUACAUUUAUGAAGACUACCUAGGUUGACUAGAACUGUAGAUGAAUAUUCUUUAAACGUUUGUUCCUUCCUAAAAUAUAUCCCUCGUAGAUCCGCAUUCUUUUUUACAACCUUCCUCAACCGUGCCAAAAUUUUAAAUAUUAAUGUUCGAAAUUGGCUCAAUUUUUUAAAAUUUAAAGAAAGUACAUCACCAUAAUAAGUUAAUAACAAGAUGUGAAAUGUUUUAUUGUCGAGUGAGAUCUACAAAACAGUGUUCUAAAAUUUUCUUAUUUUACAAAAUCAUUUAGGAUUGAAACAAAUCCAGACUCAUCUUUCUAAAUACAGAUAUUUGAUUCAUAAGUACUAAAAUUUGUAUAAAGUAUGAAUUUAAGAUACUGCCUCUUCCAAAAAUUUAAGACACGGGAACACUACUGUUUCCAAUACCUAACGUACGUUCCACAACGCCAAACCAGGGCUCCCACCGUUAUCGCAGCAAUUGCACCUUGCAAUUGUUGAUCGAUAUGAAUUUAACUUUCGAUUGGAUAAAUAAGAUCAAUACUAGAACACAACUUUAAAUAAGUAACACAAUUUGCUUUGAUUUUACAUAUUAUUAUCUUAUUAUGGAUAUAAUCAAAAUAAGUUAUUUGACUCGAACUCACGAGUAGUUUGAUCAAAAAUAAAUUUUGAUUAACUAUAAAGCUAAGCUUGAGAACAUGAACACAAGCUCUCAAGUUCGCUUGCCAUGGCCGUCAGUUGAUCUCAAAAUUCAUGUUUCUUGCUCACUCGAAUUCAAGUUUGAGCUUAAUUAGCAAAGAAAAAUGUUUUUCAAACUUGAGUAUAUAUGCUCACGUUUACGAUCAGAGUCUCUACAUCUAUACGAUACUUAAAGAGAGAGUAACAUUUGUAUGAUGUAAAGUGUAAACCCACACCUUUUUGAAAUUCUUAAUCAAUCCUCAAUUAUAAGAACAAAUUGGUUUCAAUCCAUUCAUAUGAACACAACUUCUCACAAUCAACAUAUAGUUAUCUCGUUGAGAUCUAAUUACAACUUCCGCACACUAAUCCUUUCACGGCUCUACUUUUUUUUCUAUCAUGUUUUUAAAUACAAUAACUUUCCCUAAAGUAGUGACUAUAGAAAUUUUAUAUACAAACAGACAUGUCUAAAUCUAAUAUGGCAUGUAACUUGAUAUGACAAAAAUAAUAAUAAUAUAUUUUCUUGCAAUAAGAACACACCUUAGUGUGUGUUGUGCGCCAAAAGCACUGGUUAUAUCAAUUUGCAAUUGGCUCGAGUAUUCUGGCACGAGAAGCCGAUCCUGGCUUUUAUAGCGUUUCAGUAUAUACUCCUUUCUUUCAGGCAGUCCAACUCCCACCCAUUCCACUUAGUCCCCACUCACCAAACUGCCACCAACAACAAAGCCGCCUCCUCUCCCCUCCUUCCUCGGCGGAUACCCAACGUUCACCUCAUUUCCCCCACCAACCCAUAUCUGCCUGCCUAUUUUCCUCCUUCACUUCUUCUACUUCGAUUCCAUCCAAGAAACCUCCAAAAAUGCAGGGCACAGCGAUUUCAUUCUCCCCUUCAAUUUCCCUCCCAAUAAACCGAAUUCAAUUUCCACACACCACCACAGAUUCCUUCUAUCUCCUCGCACUGAACUUCCUCUCCAUUUCAACCCUCUGCUGAAAACGCCGGCGGUUUCGUCCCGCAAGCUAAUUACGCCGAUUAAAUGCUCUUCCUCGGUGAAUCCGAUAAGUUCCGGAUGGAUUUCUGGCCCGCCUCCGGAGCCCGAAUCUGAUGACAAUGUUAAGGUUCGGGCCACUUCUGUGCCGAGAGCGCCCCCGGAAAGCCCGAAGGAAAAGCUUUGGUUGAUACUUUAGUGCUGGGACUUCUUUUUGGACUUUGGUAUCUGUUUAAUAUCUACUUCAAUAUCUAUAAUAAACAGGUGGGUUUGUUUAUUUUUUCGUUUAUGACAUUUUAAUUUUUUUUUGAAGCAAAUUUACGUUUAUGGAAAAUGAUUCCAUUUUUGUUAGUUUACUUUGAUCUAUACUUUUGGAAUGCAUUGAAGUUACUUUGAAAUGCAUAGUUGCACAAGAUUUUAUUUUCUGGGCAGUUCUGUAUGAGGGUCUGAUUUAUUGAAGUUAAUUUGGGAAAACACUUAUCUUUUAAAUUCUUAAAUUUAGAAUCUGUAGCUGAAAUCAAAUACUGAUUCUAAGACUACUAACAAUGACUUUUAAACUACGGGGCUACAUCUGAUUUGAUUCUUGAAGGAAAGAUAAUGUAUGUUGUUUUUUUUAAUGAAAUUGGGCAAUGAUACUGGAAUAUAAUUUAAUUUUGAAUGAUCUACCAUCUGACAAUAAGAAUAUGUUAAUCCCGAUGUGAAAUUAAGUUUGUAGUUCUCAUAUUAAAUGAAUUUAUUAGGAUUUUUACUUCAGUUAGUAGCAUUUAUAUUACCUUUUUCGUUUAUACUAGUUGAUAAUUUUUCCCCCUAGCAGGGAUGGAUGGGAUUUAAGAAGCGGGGAUUUCUAAUUUUUGGGGCCUCAACCUCAAAGAGUGUAUGAUAAGUUAUAAGUAGCUUGUACGAAUGAUUGUUUUGUAGCGAGUGUACGAUGGCAUUGUGUUCUAUAUACGUGAUGAUUGCGCUCUCUCUCUUGUUAUUAAAUUGCUGGAAAAGAGAAUAUAUAGAUUGCAGAUUCUGAGGUUGCUGUUGUUUUUGUAGGUCCUGAAAGUUUAUCCGUACCCAGUAACUGUUACUGUGGUUCAAUUUGCAGUUGGGACGGUCUUUGUUAUUUUUAUGUGGCUGUUCAAUCUAUACAAGCGGCCCAAGAUCACUGCUGGACAGGUAGUAUGAUACUGGUGUGGGAUUUGAUUCCUUUUACUAUUCUAUGUUGUCAAUAUGUUGAUGUGGGUUCUGAUUUUGAUGUUGGCAGCUUGCUGCUAUCCUACCAUUGGCAGUGGUUCAUGUGUUGGGCAACCUUUUCACGAACAUGAGCCUUGGAAAAGUCGCGGUUUCUUUCACUCACACUAUCAAAGCUAUGGAACCGUUCUUCUCAGUUGCCCUCUCUGCCAUGUUCUUAGGAGAGGUUUGCUUUUUCUUACGGCCUUUUGUCAAUUUCCCAGUUUCUUCUGUGGUAUUGAUUUGGUUGAUUUCUGAAAUUGUUUUAGGAUGACUCUUUAACGAAAUUUCUUUUGGCCAGCCUUAGAAUGAUAAAUUCUUUGAACACCUCAUUCCGGUGGUCUUUAUGUUUUAAAUACUGUUGGAGACUUUCAAUCAAUCUUUUCUGGAGUUUGAAUAGAUGUUUUCUGAACUACGGAAUAACUGUUCUAUUGAACCAUGAAUUUGGGACUCGUUCCACUUUAGUUACUUUUGCUAACUUACUUUUCCUGUUCAUGCAGAUGCCUACCAUAUGGGUAGUCUCAUCUCUUCUGCCAAUUAUGGGUGGAGUAGCACUGGCAUCUAUGACUGAGGCAUCCUUCAAUUGGUAAGAACUGUUGGUGCAUAUGCUCUAUUUAUGUCAUUUUGUUCUACAUCCUUCUUGUAUAAGUGCUGCUCUUUUAAGUUAUCUAAUCCAUAAUUCUUGUUUCACUUGCUAAAAGGGCUGGUUUUUGGAGUGCAAUGGCGUCAAAUUUGACUAAUCAAUCUCGAAAUGUCCUUAGCAAGAAAUUUAUGCUUAAGAAGGAGGUAUGAUUUUACUCUAGGUCCUUUAUGUUCAUAACUGGACGUAUUGUCAAGUCUGUAUUAAUUGGAAAAUCUGGUGCUUUCUCUUUGUUUCCCUGCAUUCUUUUAGUGUUUAUUACAGAAUUUCCUUUGUACUACUACUUAUAUCAUGAUGUGGUGACUUGUGCUUUCAUUUUCUUUUCCUGCCUUAAGUUUCCUAACAAAAGGUGGUUAACAGAGCUUGAAUUUCCUGUUGUUUGUGUGCAAAUUUUUGUUAAAUUAGAGAAUAACCAACAGCAUCUUCUUGUGCAGGAAUCAUUGGAUAAUAUCACCCUCUUUUCUAUAAUUACUAUCAUGUCUUUUUUCUUGUUGGCUCCGUUUGCUAUUUUCGCGGAAGGAAUCAAAUUCACUCCUGCUUUCCUGCAAUCUGCGGUGAGUAAUCCCCCCCCCCCUUCCUGGAAAUGCUUGGUGAUUGCUUUUUCUUCACCUUACAGAUAUUUUCCUCUGUUACAAUCAAUUGCAUUUCCUCCAUGCUGACAAGAAGAUUUGUUUGCUUGGCAGGAAUUGAAUGUCAGGCAGGUUUACACUAGGUCUCUCAUAGCUGCUCUGUGCUUCCAUGCAUAUCAACAGGUAUAAAUUGUCUUCUAUGUACAUUUUAAACCAGUAGGUCUCAUGUUAAUAAGCUUUCUGCACAUGAAUUGCAAUGAUACUACUGUUUUAGUCUAUUGGACCUAAAGAACCAAAUGCAGAAUUUUUAUAUACAUUGAAGGGAGUAAUGAGUUCAAAAAUGGCUAAUCUUAUGUCUCGCUGCUUGGUCCAUCUCCCCGCUUUUUAUUUAUUUUAUUAUUUUUUUGGGGGAAUCUUUAGCAGCACUCAAUUUGCUUUCCCCAAGUGAUUUUGCAUCUGCGCUGAUUGGUAUGUAUUGUUCAUCAUUCAUGAGAAAGAUAAAUAUUCUUUGGAUUGACUCUGGGAUCAAGAUCAAUCUGUUUAUUCUCAUUUAUUCUGUUUGCGGGUGCCAUUGAUUUAUUGAACUGGCAGAUUAACUUCAAAGAAAAUUAAUUGAACUGCAAACUAGACGUCUCUUAUUGUUCCCAUACCCAAGCGAAGACAAGAUCGUAAUAGACAUACUAGGAGAAUCCUUUGUGUCCAAGGCAUCAUUUCAUCAUUUCUUAGUUUUGGUUGUACUUCCUAAUUUUGGGUCAAAUAGCAGUCUUGGAACAUUUAUAAUUUGUUUUAGUCAUGAGUGAUCUGGAUGAUGUUCUAUAAGUCAGUUAAUAAUGUUAUCUCUGGGUACCGAGCAAAAGCAGAAAUUGGUGUUUACCUGCCCCUUGUUUUCCUACAUGUGGUCAGAUGUGCCAUAUUUCAUGUGUAACAUAAGCUUCUGUCUUUUCCUGGACUGUAAGUCCACUGAAACAUGGGAGAAGGCUUUUGACCAGAAAGGCCUUUAUUGAAACAGAAGCAUUUAUUUCUAAUACUGUGUAGGAUUUCUAGCCACAAUAUUUGGAAAUGUUGAACCAUGAUUGAACAUUUUCGCUAGUAGUGGAGUUGGGGAACCUUGGUUACUCUGAUGUUGAUCUUUUUACCUUGAGAUUUUGAGAUUCACUUUAUGUACUGCAGAUGUUUCUAAUUAGUGUGUUUUGGAAUCAUACUCUACUGGUGUUAACUUUGCCUCAUGCUAACACUUGUGAAGAAAAUAUUGCAAAAUCUCCAUAAUUGCUUGAAACUUUUCAUAGUAUCAUACAAUAACAAUAACAAUAACCUUCUCCAUUUGUAUUUUAUUUGUUGAAUUGCAUUUGUUUUAGAUGGACAAACAGUUAAAAAGGUUACACUAAAGAUAAAUACUUGAUUGAAAAGCAUGUCUAGAGAAUUUUAUAAAGUUCUUCAAAAUUUUGUCUGCCAUGCAACCACAAGAGAGUGUAGGAAUGAAGUUUGUCAAUCCACCCUUCACACUUUGCUUGGUUUACCUGUGUCUAAGUUUGUAGUGUUCCUAUGAUGUUUGAUGUAGUUUUGUAAGAAUAUAUCGCAACACUAACCAGUGAAAUAGUUAAAUUGUGAGAUGAAGUGACUAUCAGGAAUGGUAUAUGACAAAAUGGUUAACUUCUGCUGGUCCCUUGUUUCUUACCUGGCCUUUUGGAUUGACUAAAUUAUAUUUGUUUUUUGUAGAAUGCACCGAUGUGCUGCCAAUGUUCAUGCUUGUGAAAUUGAAUGGACUUUUUUGCAAAGUUUGUAUUGCUAGUGCCUUCUGAUUAGUGACCGAAAUACUCAAGCUCCUGGACUAACAUGCUUUUCUGUGGCUAUAAGUGGUAAGCUGAACUAGACAAAAGCUGUUGCUGGGAAGCAUGAAUGUGUAUUAAAAUCCUGUGACUGCAUAUUAGUUAUUCUGUAUCAUUUAUGAACUCUAAUUAAGCAUUGGGACUAUGCUGCAAUUAAAGAAACAUAGCAAAGAGGGAACCAAAUAGCAAGGGAAGAGACAUCCAGAAGCAAUUUGAGAGGAAUUGAAAUCUAAUCCAAGUUUCACUGGGCCUAGACAUGUACAUGCUGAGAGAGGGGAAGAAAGAGCAUGUGCAGCCUGAGUGUUGCCAGGUGUAGAAUAAGAUGCUCAUCAUUUAUCUGAAAAAGCUGUGGUAUAUAUAGCUCAGACUGAAAUCUUAAAAAAACUUAAAAGUUGGACAUCUGAGAUUUCUGGUGAUAUUCUUUUUCUGAGGACAUGAAAUAUUUUCUCCAUUCGUAUUAUGGUUACAUUGAUUUUAUCAACUGGCGAAAAAGUUCAUUUUAUUGAUGCUUAGAAGAGUUUAUUCUGCAGGUUUCUUACAUGAUAUUGCAGCGCGUAUCUCCUGUAACUCAUUCUGUGGGCAACUGUGUGAAGCGGGUUGUGGUGAUUGUCUCAUCUGUUCUAUUCUUUAGAACACCUGUUUCACCUAUUAAUUCUUUGGGUAUGGUUACCUACUCUUUUAAGUCCAGUAGCAGUGAACAUCUUUCACUUCUCUGAGUAUCUCCUUGCACAGAAACAGUCACACACACACACACACAAUAUCUCUCUCUCUCUCUCUCUGUGACGUCCCUUUGUGUGCUAGCGCGUAGUCAAAACAGAUAAUAAUUUCAAUCUUUGGUUUGACUGGCCAUUAUUUUAUUUUACCAAGUCUUUCAUCUUGAUUUUGCAGGCACUGGGAUUGCUCUUGCUGGAGUAUUCCUGUAUUCAAGAGCGAAGCGCAUUAAGCCCAAGCCAAAAACAGCUUAAGCUGUGCACUUUAAAGAGUUUUGUCGGUAAACGUUAUCUUUAGAUGAGAAAGCAAUAGCACAAAUUGGUCAGAUGUCUAGGCAGGAACUUUAUCCGAUUUUGCAGCUUUUUCAUUACGUUAAUUUUCUUCCUGGUACUCGUGUAUUCUUUUGCUGGAAAACUAAAUACAUCCCGGCUGCAAAUGCACUAUUCUGAUUUCACCAUAGUUUGUUGUGUUUUGCGCUAAAUGUAGUUGGUAAUAUUAUAAAUGUAGGAAGUGUUCUUCUCAACAUUCUGGUGAAUAUGACUCCGAAACCAUUUUGGGCUUUUCCUCAUGAAUGAGAAAAUAUGGCUGCUAUGAUUCCAUUUACUUUUUGAGUUAAAAGAAGAGAAAAGAAGAGGGAAACUGAGGUUAAAGAACAAAAGAAGAUUCCAUUCACUCUUUGAGUUAAUCUUAUUUAUAUUGAUCAUGUAUGCACUAUUAGAAUUAGAUGCAUGAUAUAUAUAUAAAUUUUUUAUUUCAAAUUCAGAUUAGUUGUUAUGCAUGGGUAUAUAUUGUCAGUUUGGGUGAAAGAUGAAAACUUAAAAAAAAAAGAGAAAAAAAAGUAGAGAGUCAAGAAUGCAGGCCAAAAAAAAAAAAGAUAUUGUUGGAUUGUCAUUUUUAAUACACUAAAUAAGAAAAGUAUAGACAGCUAAGACCAAAACUGUUUUUCAUUUUAUCAUAGACUCUUAGAUGCUUCGAAUAAUUUUGAAUUAAAGUAUGAACGUCUCUUAAAUUCCAAUUAGUUAAUAUCCUCACUAUUGUACUUUUUUAUCUUCGUCAACGAAAAAAUAAGAUAAAAGUUUAAGACCCAUCAAUUGUUGAAUAUAAUGGCAUCACAUUUAUUGAAUUUAUAUUGAUGUCGCAAGGUUUUAAAAAAGUAGUCAUGGCAAAUGGGUGGGAUGGUUGGACUAGAGUUGUCAAACGGGCAUUGUGGGCUAGAAUUUCAAGUUUGGCAACCUCAAGUUUCAUAAGAGGUUUUGGGUCAAGAGCUCUCACUUACCAAAAAAAAAAAAAAUUUGGAUUUGAUAGGAGGGAUGAGUUGAGUGGCUCAGGAAAGGAAGUAUAAGUGAAAAGUUUCGAUUUCAAAAUCUCUCAUUUAUGCUUGGUCAGAAAAAAAAAAGAAAAAAAAAUGGGGGGGGGGGGGGGGGGGAGGGAGCUUCAAGCUCAUAAUGUGUGGCCCACAUUUGUCUAAUAAAGAUACUUGCCCAUGAAUAGAUAGAUAUGGAUAUUUUAAGUUUUUGUAUACGAGUAUAAAUGGGUUACACAAUAAUACCCAUUUAAUAAAUAGCUAUUAUUGAUUAAUCUAUUAAAUCCAAUUAACUCAUUUAGAAUUGUCUUCCCCCAAACAUCCUCUCUUUGCCCCACCCAUUUUUUUUAAAAUUUUUCAUUUUGUCAUGAUGUUAACUACUUUUGUUUCAUUAUUAUUAUUAUUAUUUGUUGGUUUUAUCUUAUCAUUUUAAUUUUUCUUAGUUUGUUAACUUGCUCACUUUUAGCUUUACCAAUUUAUAACAAGUUUUAGCCUCUUUUCCUACCUUUUCUAAAUGAAAUUUUAAAUUUACACACUAAAAAAAUGCUAGAGGUUCAAAAUUUUUGAAUUAAGUUUUUAUGUUAACUUUUAUAGUACUUAGUUCAAAUUUUUAUAUUCUUAUUGUUUAAUUAUUAAAUAGUAUGUAAUUUUGCGACAUAGAGUACGAAUGGCAAAAAAAUUGAUAAUUAGGCUUAUUGAACAUUAUAAGUAAAUAUUUAAAACUAACAAUGUGUGCAAAGGGUGGUAUAAAUUCAUAACUUAGUUUGCAAAAAUGAAUUUAAAUGAGUUUACAAAAAAUUAAAAUAAAUGGGUUAUAAAUGGGUAAUUGGAUUACUCAAUUCAUUUUUUGAUUUAUCCAUUUAUUCCCAUUUAGUUAAAUGGGUAUAAAUAAGUUGACUUACUUAUACUCAUUACCUAUUUUAAUCAAUCCAAACCCGUCCAAAUCACCCAUUUUGGCACCUCUACUUAUAAGUUAUAUAUGAUGCUUAUAUAUAAAUUAUAAAUUAUAUACAUUAUAAUACAUAUAAUAUUUAAUGCAUAUAAAACUGUUUGGUCCGAGAUUUAAUCAGGUCAAACCUAAUAAAACACAACUCACUUCAAAAUUUAGUUAGGCCUAAAUAGAUGCCGACUCACUAAUAUAAAAGGUUUGGACCUAAACUUCUCAGGGUGAUCGGGCCAACCUCGGCUCCAUUGAUAGUCCUGGGUGGGACUCGAAUGAUAUUAGAAGAUAUGAGCUUAUGCACAAGCAAAUUAUGGCAUGAAAAGGUUACAAGAAAUUUCGAGUCCCAUGUUGAUCAUUCUGGAUUUGCCUUUGCAAAGAAUUUAAGGCUUUAUUUGGAUUGAGAAAUUUGGCGAAAGAUUUGAUUUUGAAAUUCAAUCAAAUCGCUUUAGGAAUUUGAUUUGCUUAAAAGUUAUUUGAAUUUAUAAUUUACUAAUUAUCUAAAUACAAUUUAAAUACUAGAAUAAUUGAUGAUUCACAAAUCUAAAUGCCUCCUAAAUAAUCUAAACAACUAAAGGAGUUUCAAAGAAUUUCAAAUCUUUCAUCAAAUCUCUCGAUCCAAACGUAACCUUAAAGUAAUUGAAACUUUUAUAGUUUAAACCAAGUAUCAUUGAUCUAAGCAAUAUAUUACCAAUAGCUUUUUUUUUUUUUCAUGUAACCAGUCAUAUGACCAAAUAAUCCUUUUAAAAACUUAAAAUACCUAAAAAAUUUAAAUUUCAUGUAAGUGGAAUGAAAAUAUGAAAUACAUAAACUACAAGUCUACAAGUGUAAUAGUUUUGAAGUGGUUAUUUCUGAGAUCUUAAACGUAUAAUGUAUUACAUGAAAUUAUUCUCCUUUGCAGCUUGAUUUUAAGUGUAAUUUUUUCCUCGUUUUCUAGUUGAUACCAAACAAAUAUAGGUUAAAAAGAGAAACUCAUUUCAAAGUCUAGAUAAAUUUAUGAGGGUGGAAAUCUAGUAACAAGAGAACAUAUACAUCUUUCAAUUCUAAUUCAUCAAAAUUAAGGAAGAAAGACAGAUUGCAUAUGUUUACAUAUUUUUAGUGGAGAUUAAUUAACUAAGAAAUAAAUUAAGCAACACACCUUGACAUCUGGCUCAAAUGAUCGUUGCAUCUUUCACUACACUGCUCUUAAACUCUCCUUUCAGCAUCUUAAUUAGCAAUCUGAAACAAUUUUUCCACCCCAAAUUUCUCUACAAAAAUAGAAUAGUCUCCUGCUUAUGCAUAUAUAGAAUGACUUUAAAAUUAAGCAUAUAUAUUUCAGAAGUCAAGAGAAACAUUUUUAGCAAACCUAAUUGAUAAUAUAAUAACUAUCAAAAUCUCAUCAAAUUUUUGGAUGUUUACCUAUCUCCUCAAGCGUCACUGCUCCUUCGCUGAUUUAGAUACGUUUUGACCUCCCCGUUUUUCCAUCAAAGAAGAGAGGUAUUAUUGGAAAUUACGAAAAGUUGUCAUUUUGGACAAGAAAUUUAGGAGAUUCAAGGGGAUAAGGUUACAGUCAGAUGAAUUUGCAACCACUACUGGAGUUUCAUUACUAGUAUAGCUCAACAAGCUGCCUGUUAUCAUUUUCUUCGAAUGGCUUGAACUCUAAAAAAUCCAUAAUCGAUCAUGGAAGAUCCAUUAAAGAAGGAAUCAAGAGGCAUAUUUAGUAGAUUGGAUUCAUACAUUAGGGUUGAAAGAUGAUCCGGUAAUAGUAAGUCAUCAAGGUGCUCAAAAUCUCGGAGAUUCAAAAUCCUUUUUCAAUUUGAGGUUCCAAGGAAUUGGUUGGCAAGGUAACUUGUUGAUUGCUAGCUGGUUGAUUGCUACAUUUUCUGUUCAACUCCACGACAAAGAAAAGAAGAUAACCAAAGAUAACCAAAUUCUGUAGUGUUUACUUCAUUCCCAACCGCCUUGCCUAAAUAGGUAAAAACCAGGUGGUACAUAUGUUAUUUAUUGCAUUUUGAGUCUAUUUGAGCUGUGCCUAACAGAAACACCUCUUCCUUGCAUUUAUUACGAUACCUUUUCCAGGAAUAUUGGAAUUGGAAUACUCUUAUUGAUAGAAAGAAACCCAGCUUUGAUUUUCACCAAAAAGAAAUAAAAAACUAUUCUUCUUGUUAUAUAAUUCUCAUGUAUGUGAAUAUGAAUCCAUUUUCUUCAAGAUUUUGAGAAAAUCUUGAAUACAAGGUUUUGUUUAAUUGUAGUUAAAGGCUUAUUUCAAGUGUCUUGACUGACUAAUUAAACUUAUCUAUGUUUCAACAUAAUUAUGCACAAAACCUGCACAAUCAAAGCACCAAGAAACAAAAAGUGAAAGCAACUAAAAUUUUUGGUACUAGCAAGUGUCAUUUUCUCAACAUUUCAAUGUUUUUGCAAUUUAUGCUAAUGUUUUUCCCUGUAGCAUGGGCCUUGAUUAAGAUCAUGCCUUCCUCCUCAGUGUGUGCAUCCUUCCAUACAGGACAAUGAAUAAGUAAAGGAAUUAGCAAGUGUAUUAAAUAACCUAAUUAUCAAAGUUGUUUCAUCUUUUGGCCUUUGAUUUCUACUAUAGGAAAUGAUAGAGCAAAAAGGGAAAAAUUUGUAGACUGGAGUAUUAAAAGUAUUAUUAGCAUAUUCUUAAUUUUAUAUGAAUUUCAAGAAAAAAAUCAUAUAAAAGAAUUUGAAAUUUCAGCAUCUUAACAAUUUGAGACAAUUUUCCCACCCCAAACUUCUUUACCAGAUGGAUUAGUAGCCUACUUAUGCAUAACCAUGAGGAUGAAAUCAAAAGUAAUGCAUAAAUAAUUGCAUAAAGAAAUAGAAACUUGUUUUACCAAACCUAGAUAAUAAAAUAAAAACUAUCAAAUAUUUUGGAAUAUCCAUCUUUUUUAAUGGUCAAUUGCUCCUUUAUUGAUUUAGAUAUUUUUUGAUCCCACUAGGCUUUUUUUUUUUUUUUUUAACAAUAAGACGAGAUGUUUGAUAGGGUGUUAAUUGUUAAUAAUUUUAUUGUUAAUUUCCCCCUUUGUCUUUGCCAAAUAUAGUUUUAAUUAUUAAUAUCUACUUAUAUUUGGUAUUUGAAUCAAUUUCAGGGAAUGGAACAAAAAAACACAAAAUAGAGGGACUUUCUGGAGAAAAUGAGACUUCUAAGGGCUUCACAAACCGGGCCCACAUGUGCUGAGAAGGAGACGGAUUUUUUUUUGCUUCUGGCUGAUUAAUACUUAAUAGCGGCUGACUAGGAGUCCUACUAGUGAUAGGAAACAAAAUAAGACGGAAGGCCUGGGUUGGUGCAGGAAAUUUUCUUUUUUUUUUCUUUUGGUUAUGCUUGUUCCUAAUUCAUGGGGACCACUGGAGAUAGCAUUAGUCAUCUUUCUUUUGGCCUUGAAAAGGUAUAAUCGCACAGAAGGCUAGGACGGCUCUUGAGCUUAGUCUUUAGCAUAGUUUUUAGUUUUCUUUCUUUUUCUUUGUCAGGCACGCUUACUGUUCGACAAUAUUUCCCAACAGGAAGAAUAUCUUUUACUUCUAGCUUUCUAAUGAAAAACGUGAUGUCUUUGCAAUCAAUUAAUUUGUGUGAAGAUUUAUUUAUACGGCGUGGCUAAGCCUGCUAUCUAGUCAAGGACAACUCGACGGCGCAGUCCGAAAAUUUGUGAGAUCUAAUUAGUUUUCAUGCGUUUCUCAAUUUGUUAAUAUUUGCACAUUGUCUACUUGAAUUUUCAUGGAUUAUUUUAUUAAUUGGAUGUCAAGGGCCCAAUGUUCAAUGUGAUUUAUUAAUCUCUUGCCAAAUUAGUCAAUUAAAUCCGUAAUUGUUUGAUUGAUUAGUAUUAGUGGCAACUGCGUGUUUACACACUAGGGAACGUGCAAUCUAAUUUAAAUAACCCUCGUAGCGUGUUAUUGAUUGGGGUUAGUUUUUUUAAUUAUUAAUGCAAUUGAAAAAUUAAUUCCUACGGUCGUACCUAGGAAUAUUUUCUGGUUAGGGGUAAUCAAUGGUCGUACUUUGGUUAUUAAUAAAUUAAGAAAAAUUGGUCGUUAGAGUUCGUCGGCUACUAUAACUAGUCUAUUAAUAAAUUAAGUGAACUUUCUUGUAUCAAUGAUCGGAUAAAUGGACUGUGUCUGAGUAGUUGUAUCCUUGGUUAGAAUUUAUCUAUUUUUGAUUUAAUUCUGCUAUAUUCGUGCUAGUUAAUUACUUAUUUUUAGUUGAAUUGCUUAAUUGUUUUUAGUUUCAGUCCGAUAAAAUCCCCUUUUACCAAUUGAAAUUUCAAAGACAAAUAUUUUCAGUCCCUGGGGAGACAAUCCUGCUUGUCACUGUCUAAUUUUUAGUAAUUUUGUCAAUUAAUUAAUUCUGGUAUAUCGGAUUAAGCAAACUCUUCGGGAACAAAGUGAAUCAAGUAACCCAUUGUACACCUAGAGUCCCUGUUCCAGUACCUAGGGUUAAUUAUUGACUGCUUUUAGUGGUAGUUAGGUUCUAUUUUUAUUAUUAUACAGGCUCGACACUGUCAAUUUUUGGCGCUGUUGCCGGGGGCUGGCGUUAAUUAUUUGCUUCUUUUUAAGUUCAUUUGUGUUCUAAUUUUUUGGUACUUUUCUAGUGCAUGCCUUGUUCUUCUCGUACAGGCGAAUUAAUUUUCGACCCUGAAGUAGAGAAGAUUGCCGCGUAGAACAAGAAAAGAGACCAGACAGCUCAGAAGGAGCACUCCAGUGCUGCAUCUCAGAGACCUGAGCCAGAAGUUGAACCAGCAGAUUCGUUUGGUGACACUUCGAGUGACUCGGAUCAAGAGGAAGUCACCAUGGCAAAUGCACAAAUACACUAAGGGAGUGGCUGCGCCUAAUUUAAAUCAGUAACCUUUGCAUUACUUUUCCAAGUUUAAAUGAUAACAUCUUUUGAGUUAAAAUUGACCUAAUUCAUCUCUUACCAUCUUUCUAUGGUUUACCAGGUGAGGAGCCGUAUAAACACUUGUAAGAGUUUGAUAUAGUUUGCAAUAGCAUGAAACCCCCGGAAUCACAGAAGAGCAGAUAAAAAUGAGGUCUUCCUCUCUUUGAAGGACUCUACGAAAGACUAGCUGUACUACCUAUCACCAGGUAGUAUUGUUACGUGGGACCAAUUGAAAAGAAAUUUUAGACAAAUAUUUUCCUGCGUCUCGAGCUGCAAGUCUAAGGAAGGAGAUCUGCGGUAUCAAACAACACCCAGGCGAGUUCUCUCUGAGUACUGGGAGAGGUUUAAGAAGUUGUGCAUCAAAUGCCCUCAACAUCAGAUAAGUGAGUAACUGCUCAUCCAAUAUUUCUAUGAGGGGCUACUCUUAGGGACAAGAGUAUAAUCGAUACUGCAAGUGGAGGGGCGUUAGUGAACAAAACUCCUCGGGCAGCAUGGGAGUUGAUUGAGGCGAUGGCUGAAAAUUUACAGCAGUUUGGUUCAAGAAGGAUGUCCCGACCUGUAGGGUGAAUGAGAUAGAAACAUCCUCCAUCCAACAAUUAGUUGUGGGAAGUGCUUCACAAGCCAAUGUGUGUGGGGUAUGUGCUGCCUUGGGUCAUUCUACAGAGAUGUGUCCACUAGUUCAAGAAGAAAAUGCAGAAUAAGUGAAUGUGCCAGUCACGCGCCCGCGCCAAGAAAGCAGUACGACCCUUACUCAAGUACCUCUAAUUCUGGUUGGAGAGAUCAUCCCAAACUCAGCUAUGGAGGGAACAGACAGUCCAAUUUCGUACCAAAUAGGCAACAAGGGUACCGACAGCAGUACCAACCUCACCCACCACCACCCCCUUCGAACUCAAGUCCGUCUAUGGAAGAGAUGAUAAAGCAACUACUCACAAAUCAAAAAAGACGGAUUCAGACUUGCAAAGCAUAAGGAAUUAAUUGGGACAAGUGCAAUCAUUGCAAACUCAAGUAAAUCAAAUGGUCAUCACGAUCAACGUUUGGAGUCCCAAAUUCAAGGGAAGUUGCCAUCUCAGCCUGAGUUGAAUCCAAAAAAUGUGAGUGCAAUGACCUUGAGAAGUGGCAAGGAAGUCAAAUGACUCGAACCGGUGAUUCCUAAGGACAAGGACAAGAAACGAAUCGAGAAAAAAUUGGAAGAGGAGGGCCGAGACAACGAGGAUUAAAAAGUACUCCCGGAUCUGAUUACUAGAGUUAAGACUAAUCCACCUCCCUUUCCUAGCAGGUUAGAGAAAUCAAAGAAGCAGAACAAGGAGAAAGAGUCCUGGAGAUCUUUCGUAAGGUGAAAAUCAACAUUCCCCUAUGGAUGCGAUCAAGCAAGUACCCAAUAUGCAAGGUUUUUGAGGAACUUGUGUGUCAACCGAAGGCGGUUGAAAGGAGAUGAGCGAGUGGUAGUGGGGAGAACGUGUCAGCAAUCUUAUAAAGGAAGUUUUUACCGAAAUGCGGGACCCAGGUAUAUUCACUAUUCCCUGUAGGAUAGUAAUACCUUGAUUGGUAAGCCCAUGUUAGACUUGGGAGCGUCGAUAAAUGUCAUACCAAAGUCCAUAUAUGCUUUUUUGCAUUUAGGUCUUGAAAAGAGACUGGAAUAAUAAUCCAACUGGCUGACCGAACCAAUGCAUACCCUGACGGGUUGAUUGAAGAUAUUUUAGUAAAAAUUAAUGAAUUGGUUUUUCCAACUGAUUUUUAUGUGCUUGAUAUGGAUGAUGAACACUCCCACGACCUCUCACUUUUAUUGUUGGGUAGACCUUUUUAGCACAACCCGAACCAAAUUUGAUGUAAACAAGGGUACUUUGUCUAUGAAAUUUGAUGGCAAGAUUGUUCAUUUUUAACAUUUUUGAAAUCAUGAAAUAUCCGUUAGAUUCAAAUGUUAUCUCCGUUUUCUCUGUAAAUGUUGUUGAGCCUGCGGUACAGGAGGUUUUUUAAAUUGAAAGCAGGGAUGAGUUGGAAGUUGUCUUGACCAGGCACUUCGAGUCAGAAUGACCUCUCAAUGGGAUGUCGUCUUCUACGACUUGCACUCGACUCAAGUGAUAUGCUACCAAAUUUUUCGCCCUUUUUUGUCUGUGAUCUCCAGGUCAAAAUCUUGUAGCAAUAGUAUCCACUUAUAAGUCGCGAUUUUGCCUCUUUCUUGGUCAACAGAUACCGCAUUGCUGCAAUUAGAAAAAAUAAUAACUUUAGCACCUAGUAAAUAAGACCUGAAUUUCUCUAAAGCAAAAACUACUGCCAAAAUCUCCUUUUUAGUGGUAGAAUAGUUUAAUUGAGCUCCGUUCAAGGCUUGAGAUGCGUAGUAUAUAACAUGGGCUGCCUUUCCUACUCUUUGACCCAGCACCGCACCCACGGCAUGAUUGCUGGCAUCGCACAUGAUCUCGAAUGGUAAGUUCCAGUCCGGAGGUUGGAUAAUAGGUGCACAUUAAGUUCGAUGAAGCAUGUAAGGGGGCGUUUGAUAGGUUGAAAGAUCAAUUAAACGGAGCUCAAUUAAACUAUUCUACCACUGAAAAGGAGAUUUUGGCAGUAGUUUUUGCUUUAAAGAAAUUCAGGUCUUAUUUACUAGGUGCUAAAGUUAUUAUUUUUUCUAAUCAUGCAGCAAUGCGGUAUCUGUUGACCAAGAAAGAGGCAAAACCGCGACUUAUAAGGUGGAUACUAUUGCUACAAGAUUUUGACCUGGAGAUCGAGACAAGAAAGGGCGAAAAAUCUGGUAGUAGAUCACUUGAGUCGAGUACAAGUCGUAAAAGACGACAUCUCAUUGAGAGAAACCUUUCCCGAUGAGCAUUUAUUUUUUGUUAAUUUAUCUUUGCCUUGGUAUGCGGAUAUUUAAAUUUUCUAGUCACUGACAAGUUCCCUGCAGGAUGGUCUAAGGCAAAGAGGUACAAGUUAAGGAGUGAUGCAAAGUCUUAUAUUUAGGAUGAUUCUUACUUCUGGAAGCGUGGUGCUGACCAAAUCAUCUGAAGAUGUGUAAGUGAACUUGAAUUCCAAUCUAUUUUAACUUAUUGUCACUCUUUUGCGUGUGGAGAUUACUUUGACCAAAGAGAAUGGCUUGUAAGGUGCUAGAAAGCGGGUUUUAUUGGCCGACCCUCUCCAAGGAUGCAUACUCAUAUUUGUAAGUUAUUGAUAAGUGUCAACGAGUAGGUAAUAUUCUCGUAUCGAUCAAAUGACCAAACCCAAUGAUUUUUGUUGAAAUCUUUUACGUUUGGGGUAUUGACUUUAUGAGUCAUUUUCUUCGUCUUAUGGUUUCUAUAUAUAUUGCUUGCCGUAGACUAUGUUUCGAAAUGGGUGGAAGCAAAAGUCACCCGUACUAAUGAUUCAAAGUGAUUGCAGAAUUCGUAAGAUCUAAUAUUUUUGUCCGCUUUGGGAUGCCGCGAGCUAUUAUAAGUGAUCGGAGUACCCAUUUCUGCAACAAGACGGCUGCACUUUUUAGGAGGUAUGACGUUUUACAUAAGGUAUCUACAUCCUACCAUCCUCAAACAAAUGGUCAGGCGGAAGCAUCAAACCGAGAGAUCAAGUCGAUUUUGGAGAAAAUGGUUCGACUUGAUAGGAAGGAUUGGAGUAUGAGGCUUGAAGAUGCCUUAUGGGCAUAUAGAACGGCGUACAAGAUGCCCAUUGGCAUGUCCUCUUAUCGUUUGGUAUUUGGGAAGCCAUGUCACCUCCCCGUCGAGUUCGAGCAUAGAGUAUUUUGGGCUGUAAAACAGUGCAAUGUGGACAUCGAGGAAGGCGAAAUUCAAAAAAGUUGCAAUUACAAGAAUUGGAGGAGAUUCGAAAUGAAGCACAUGAGAAUGCGGUGAUUUAUAAGGAGAAAAAUAAGAUUUUUCAUGACCAGCAAAGCUCUAGGAAGACGUUCGAAUGUGAGCAAAAAGUUCUACUGUACCAUUCCAAAUUGAAGUUAUUUCCAGAUAAAUUACGUUCUCGUUGGAUUGGUCCUUUUGUUGUGACUAAUAUCUUUCAUUAUAGUGCAGUGGAGAUCCAAAGUUUGAAAACGGAGAAGAAAUUUAUAUUGAAUGGUCACCGUUUUAAACCGUAUUAUGAAGGGUUUCCGGUUGAACGGGUGGAGAUGAUGCAAUUGGAAGACCCGACUUGCUUAGUUUAAGCAAAUUUUAGGUUAUGUCUAGCCAAAGACAUUAUAAAAAGGUGCUCUUUAGGAGGCAAGCCAAAUAUUAAUUUUCUCAUUUUAAUUGUUCAAUUCUUUAAUCAUGUCGUUUCCCAUUUGGGUAGUAAUCGGUUUUAAUGUUUUCCUCUACUUUGACCAAGACAGGAAUCUUGGCGUGCCAACGCGGUGAGGGCACGCGAAAGUGAUCCAGGUCAGUGGACGUUUGCCAAUUUUGGCGUGCCGCGCCAUGUUGAUCAAACCUAAACACCUCGCGACGAUUGGCAGGAAAUGAAAUCUUAACGUGCCGCGCGUGAGAAGGGCACGCAAAAGUGACUCAAGGUCAGUGGACGUUUUAUAAUCUUGGCGUGUCCACGCGGUGUUUGACGACCCUAAAAUGAAUUAAAAAAAAAUAAUAAAAAAAUAUAAAAAAUAUAAAAAAUUUUUGUUAUUACUGUUGCAAGAAAAAGGAAGGAUUAUUUUCUUUUUAAACCCUAAAAAAUUUAAUUAAUUAAAAUUUAAAAAUUUUUUAAAAAUUAAGAAAAUCUAUAAAAAAAAGGAGAAAAUAAAAAAAAGAAAAAUUUUGGUCGAUUAAUAUUUGAAUAAUUUUGAAAAAAAUAGAAAUAAAAUAAAAACCCAAAAGAAAAAAAUAAAAUAAUUUUUUCCCUUUUCUCUUUUCUCUUUUCUUUUUUUUUCUUUCUUUUCUUCUUUUUUCUUUCUUUUUUUCUUCUUUUUUCUUUUCUUUCCUUUCUUUCUUUCUUUCUUUCUUCUUUUUCUUUCUUCUCCCUUCUUCCCCGCUGCUUUCCCUUUUCCCUUCUUUUCUUCUUCGAUCUCACUCCCAAGCCGCCGCUGCUGCCAUCGACGCCGCCUCGCGCACCACCAAGCGCGACAGCCGCGCGCCGCCCCUUUCUCCCUGCUGCUCUCCACGCGCGCCUCCAUCCAGCAGCUGCCACCGCCAGCUCUGCGCGAGCUCCACUCCAGAGCACGCCAGUCCCUGCCACCAGCUCUCCAGCCGCCGCCAAGCUCCGAGCUCCACCUCGCGGUCCAUCACUCACCUCGCACCCCAGCUCUCCCUCCGCCUCGCUCUCACUCACCUCUCGCCACCUGAGGCCCACCAAGCAGCCGCGCGCCACCAACUUCACAUCGCUCGCCGCCGCUCGCCGUGGCCUCCUUCUUCACCCCAGCCCAAGCUCGCUCCUCCCUCUCUCUCCCCCACCUCAGCUCAACCUCCAACCAGCCGCCGCCACCUGCUACACCGCUCCUCCAACCUCGCGCGCCCCCACUGACCUCCUCCUCCACCAGCUCCACGACGACGCCGCCUCUCCUUCGCUCCACCCUCGGUCUCGCUCCUCCCCACCUAGCUUGCCGUCCCAACUGCCGGGCGGCGCUGCUCACGCCACCCACAGCCACGCCAUUCCACCUGUCAAAAUUGACAGGUGGAGGUAUUGAAUCUUCAACCUCGAUUAGUAUUUUUCUGGUUCUUCUAUUGCUGGAAUUUGCGCGCUUUUGUUUCUUGGGUUUCUUGAUAGCUAAUAGCAGGGGGUGAUUUAGGCAUUUUCUGGGGUUAAUUUUGGUGGAACUAAGUUUAUUUGCUGCUCCAUUUUGGGAUAUUCUCUGGUAUUGAUUACAUUGUUGAAUAUUGUUUGGGUUUUGACUACUUGAAGCUUCUAUUUUCAUAUGUGGGGAUCAAAUUUGAGUUGACUAUUUGAUUUAAUUUUUCCCUUUGCAUUCAGCAGUGGUACUGGCGAUGGUAGUUGUUUAACAUUUGUUAAUCCGGAGUUAUUGGUUGCCUGAUUGAUCGAGUUGUGACUACUGGGCAUUUGUGAUUGUGUUGCCUAGUCCAACUUCUGAACUGUGGUUGCUGGUUUUGUUGGUUUCUUGGGUCAUUUGCUAAUUUUGGUAGGUUUAAUUGGAUAUUUGACUGUCCAAUUGGAGACAGUUGUUGAGAUUUUGGAUGGUCUUGUGUCCAAUUGCUGAAAUUUGUUCUUUUGAUUAGCCAAUGGCACCACUCUGAGUUUGUUAGACUUGUUGUUUUGGUGCAUUGUUGGGAGCUGUACUCUGGUAUUGUGGGUCCUUUUCUGCGCCUGUUUGCUGAAUUGGGAUAUAACUGUGACUUUGCAUUUGCUUAUUAAAGUGGGUUGCCUCUAAUUGCCUUGUGUGAAAGUAUUUUGUCUUGUCAUUUCAAUUACUUAGUUCAUUGGAACAUCUGCUGCAAUUUUGGGUUGCCUGCUAGUUACCAUGGUAAAGCCACGGUCCUCUUCUAGGUCUAGGACCCCUAGGACUUCUCAGCCUCCCCCACCCCAGUCCUCCAUUCCUGCCUCUAACCCCUCGCACGAACCUUCUUCCUCUGGGAGGAGGGCUCGCCUUGGGCGGCAGAGAGGCGUCCAUAUCUCUGACCCUACACAUUUUGGGAGUAAUUUGGACUUCACCAAUCCCGCCGAUAGGCAACGGUAUGCUAGCUGUUGUGAACGGCGGAUUAUUCCCUGUCGCUAUCGGGAUACCGCCACCUUGGGUCUUCUAAAUAUUAGAGUUGAUUUUGACAGGUUGAUUGAGGCCAUUGGAUGGCUUCCCUAUCCUCGUAUUCUUGACCGCCCGGCCUUUGUUGAGUUAGUUAGGGAGUUCUAUGCCACAUUUGAGUUCAACCUCCCCACUGGUUACACAGUUUCUACCCCCAAUGUCAUCUGUUUCCGCUUGAUGGGUCAGGAGUUCCACCAUUCCAUUACUGACUUCAACUUAGCCUUUGGUUUUAUUGAUCCAGCCUAUGCUGAGUCUCGUGAGUAUGUCGAGAGUGCGUGUGACUACAUAGAGCCUUUUUUCUCCCGCUAUCGGUAUAUUUGGGAGGAUAUGUCUGUCGACUGUGCUGAGUAUGACCCCCGCCAUUCUAAGAGUUGUUAUCUUAAGGACCCGGCGUCUCGCUAUAUCCAGCGCUUCUUGCCUAUAGUUUUUCGGGUAGGCGAGAUAGCUCGGGCAUUUUGUCUAAGCCGGAGUUUUUCUUUAUUUGGUGCAUGCAUAAUAACAUCAAGGUUAACUUGGGGUGCUGGCUCGCUUCUCAGUUUAAAUCUGUUUUGCCUAAAAAGAAGCGCCCCCUGAUUCUUGGGUCCUAUAUUACUCAUUUGGCUGUUAAUUUGCAUCUGCUUGAUCUCUCUAACCAUGAUUUGCAUGUAGCAUGUCAAAUGGAGCCCUUAGACAUUCCUUGUCUAGAGAAAAUGGGCUUGGUACAGGAGGGUGACGACGGGUGGGAGGUUGUUCCCCGGGACCGAUUCGUGUCCUCCCUCGUUCCUCUUUUGCUCGUUCUUCUACUGCUGGCGGUGAUCCUGGCCCGUCUACCUCCGCUCCGCCUCCUCCUACCCCAGGGGCCGACGACUGGCUCGAACUCCGGAACACAGUUGAGAGACUGGAGACUCGAGUGACCAACAUUAGCAUCAACUUGAAUAACAUGGCGCAGAAUUUGGCAGCAUUUAUGCAUCAUGUAGGCCUUGCUCCUCAAUUUCGACCUGAGCCGCCCCUGUUUUGAUGACUUCAGGGGAGUACCGUUGCCCUUCUCCUUCCUUCUGCUUUUACAUUAUAACAUUGAGGGCAAUGUGUGAAUUAGGUGUGGGGGGGAUCGUUGUGGUGCUAGUUUUUCCAGUUUUUAGUCUCUAGAGGUUGUUCCUUUAUGUUUAGUUUGUUUUUGCCUAUCUUUCAUUUAUUUUCUUUACUUUUUUUUCUAGUGAUCAGUUCUUAUAUGAAUACCAAGUUUUGAUCUGGGGUUGUUGUCUCUAAUUCUGAUAUUGCCAAGUUUUAGUAAUAAAAGGGUAUCAAGUUAUUGUGGUUGAGUUCAGGAACAUUUUUUUGGUGAAUAUCAGUAAUUGCUUGACUUUUCCAAUUUUUGGUUAACUUUUCUAGGUAUAGGGAAUGAUUGUUGGCAUUUUUCAUGUGAAUUGGUCCAGUUAUUAAUUUUAGUUCUCUAUGUUUGGAAAUUUGACGCUGGCUGCUGUUAUUUUUGUGUUGUUUUUAGAUAUUGUGCUAUAUGAUUGUAAAUAAGAGUUGACUGUACUCCGCUAGUUGUUACUACUGAGUAACCGGGGAUUUUCACCUAAAGUGUCGAUUCUCGCGUCAAAAGGUAGUGAUUUCUAUGAGUACGUGGUCAUAUAGCGAUAGGAGUUGAGUAACCGGACUCCUUCAUUUGACAAAUGUUGGAGUUCGCGUCAAAAAGCUCUAAUGGCUAGAGACUAAGUCUUUUGCUAUGCUCAAAAAAAAAAAAAGAGAAAAUAGGAAAGUGCGAAAAAAAAGAAAAGUGAAGGUUGUGUUAGUAAGUGAUAAAAGUCAGCUUGCCGAUUUGUGGAGUUAAUGUUGAGAUUUUGGUUAAUAGUUGGACCAUUGGCUGAUAAAUGUGAGCAAUCAUUCCUUUUCUUAGAUUAGUUUGCUUUAAAUUGGAGGAGUUGGUGGUUUAGAAGCUAACUAGAGUGAUUUUUCUUUGAUCUUGACCUGUGAUACUUGAUAUAUGUUUUCCUGGGUAUCUUGGCAAUACGGUAGUUGGAGCAAUAGCCAUUGUCGAAUUUUGGUGUUCAAUUGCUGUCCCAUGCUUGAGGGCAAGCAUGAUUUAGAUGUGGGGGGAAUUGAUAGGGUGUUAAUUGUUAGUAAUUUUAUUGUUAAUUUUCCCCUUUGUCUUUGCCAAAUAUUGUUUUAAUUGUUAAUAUCUACUUAUAUUUGGUAUUUGGACUCAAUUUCAGGGAGUGGAAUAGAAAAGCACAAAAUAGGAGGGACUUUUUGGAGAAAAUGAAAACUUCUAAGGGCUUCACUAACCGGGCCCACAUGGUGCUGAGAAGGAGACGAAUUUCCUUUUUGCUUCUGGCUGAUUAAUA